AAUAUGAUUUGAGCAAGAGUGGUCUUCCCUAAUCCUCCAAUUCCAACAAUUGAGAGGACUGAAACACACUCUUCACCAUUGGAAGACAAUACAAGUUGUGUAAUUGCCUUUUUGUCACCCUCUCUCCCAAUAACCACUUCAGGUAAAGAGGACGUAGUUUGAUCCCUCCAUACAAUACUCUCCUGAUCAGUACGAACCUCUAAAUUAAAUUUUCUGUCAGCUUCAAUAUCAGCUAGCCUCUCCCUAAUCGCCUUAACUUUAUGACCCAUUUUAAAACCAUAAACAAGUUUAUUUGAAGACGAAAAGAAGAGACUUACCUCCUUUGUCAUUCUAUUUCCAGUCAUCACUCGGCGCCUUAGGGCUUCUGUGGCGAAGUCAUCUACCAAGUCAUCAGCAUCAUAAACCACUUCUUCUAGCCUCUCAAGCCAGCCUUUCACUUGACGGUUAAGUUUCUGCUGCUCCUCAGCAUCCAGAAGAACGUUGCGAAUACUAGAAACUGUGGCCUCAAGUUUCUUAAGCUCACCUUUGACGCCCCACCACAAUCCGAUCUCAUGAAGGGCUCGAGAACCCAGCUUGGUAAUGAUAUCUAUGACAACGUUAGAGAGAACUCCGUCGGCCAUUUUGGGUGUUUUGGUUUGAUUGUAAAAGGAUGAAAUGUUGCUGUGAAGAAGAAGAUGGUGACAACAAAUGACUAAUUUAAAGAAAAAAAAAAGUGAAGGAAAAAGCAUUCUUCUAAAUAAUUAUCUUCAGUCGGUCAGCUUUGGUGGGCGGUGGUUUGCUUUAAUUUAAAAAGUAAAAUAUAUUAAUAAAUUUAUAUAUAGAAUGAAAGUAAGUUAUGUUUUUUUUAAAAUAAUUUUAUUUUUUUAUUUAAAAAAUAUUUUUUAUUAAAUAAAUUUUGAGUGAUUCAAAUCGUUAAAAAAUAUAAAAUAUAUUUUUAAUGUUAAUGAAUUUUGGUUAUUGAAAUGAAAGUAUUUUUAUAUAUUUGUAUGAUGAUAUAAAAUUAUAUCAGGUGUAACAUGUAUAAUAGAUUUAUUAUGAGUUUUAAAGAUUUUAAAUGGAUCUGAAUUUCAAUACUGUAGCGAUUUGAUUUUUGAAUCGUUAUAGAAAUAACCGGUUGAUUUUAUGAAUUCUAGUACUGUAGCGAUUCGAUUUUUAAAUCGUCAUAGGAACAAUAAUCAUUAUAGGAACAAUAGGUUGAUUUUAUUUUUUGGGUAACAGAAUCUCAAGAGUAUCCUAUUGCAUAUUAUAGAUCCAUCGAUGUUAGAGAUGUUGUGUAUGCACACAUUCAAGAUUUGGAGAUUCCUUCUCUUCUGAGGUUCUAAAGAUUGUGUCAGCAACAUUAUCCUACAUUGCACCUUUCAAAAAAGUAUGAUUUUUUUUAUAUUUUUGCAUGCUCAUUUUGAACCAGCUAUAUAAAUGCUAAGAUCUAUAAUUAUUCGGAUAAUUGAGAAAUAGUUGUUUUGAAUGAUUAAUUUGAUCAUGGAAUAUAAUCUGAGUUGCAGAUGUGGCUCUAGAUUGAAUUACUUAACAAAGUAUGAGGUAUCAAAGGAAAAAGCGAAAACUUUGGGCAUUGACUUCAUUCCUUUGGAGGUUAGUUUGAAGGACACUAUUGAAAGCUUGAAGCAGAAGGGCUUCCUCAGCAUUUGAUUUUGGCUGUUGGAUAAAAAGCAAUGCAAAUAUUACAUUGGCCUUAGCUUCCUAUUGGUGCAAGAUCUUAUUGCCCUUCAAGAUUGUCUUUAUUUGAAAAAAGUGGACCAAUACAAUUUAUAAAAUAUAUAACAAUUUGUAUAUAACUGUGUAUAAACAUAUUACAUGUGUCACUUGUUUUAGUGAUAGAUGAAGUUCGUUUCAGGUCUGAUUUAUGAGGAAAUUACUUUUUUUUUUUUUUUUAUCUGAUUUCAGGUCACAUUCCAAAGAAUAAGACACAAGAAAAAGAAAAUGUAUAAUCCACCAAUUCUGAUUUAGUUCGGUCUUUUCAAAGUAUAUUCAGAUUUCAUAGCCAAUUCAUUUAAUGCCGUAUCUGAUUUCUGGUUCUUGUGAUAUGCUCUUACAAAAUUCAUCUAAAAUUCAGUGCUCUUACACAUUCUGGAAACACAAUUUAUACAAAAACUGAUUUCUCAGGAAAAAAAAGGAAAAUAAUGUUAUUUGCAUUGAAUGAACAAAUGAUUAGCAUAGUAGCAAAACUACUUAAAAUAAGAGAAAUUAGAAACCAAAAAGCAGCACAGCAUGAGUCUGGGCAUUGCAUGUUGGAUGAUCGAAACAGAGGUCUUGAGUGCGAAUCUAGAUCCUGAAAUACGCAGGCCUGCAAAAAGUCAUUCGAAGAAGUGUGCAAAACUCCCAUCAUUCAGCUUUCUUUCUGCUUCCCGCUCAGCAGGAUUACUAUGUACUGAGACAGAUAGGAAACUUAUCCCGGUGAGUUUUUAUUCCGGGAUGUCAAGGGCACAAUGCGCAGCUUAGUGAAUCUCCAUCAUCUUUGCCACAGGUGUAAGUUAUGAAGAUAGUUGCUAGAUGGAGGAUUUUCACACUAGUGAUUAAGCAUCUGUUUCAAGCCAGAAUCAUCAUUAAAUCACAGAUUUGCUUUACAAGCAAUAACUAGAGGGAUUUCAUAUUACAAGUAGAGUCUUUAUAACCUACUGAAUCGCUUAUUUGCGAAGACAGAAGAAAAGGAGAGCUCACGUUUUGUUUUUACUGCACAAAUACUGCAUAUGGAAUCUGAGUGAGAAGUUACUCCCUAAAAAUUUCAAAAGUGUUUUUGAGAGGUACCUUUGCGCGAAUCUUCUGGCAACAGACCCAAAGAAGUCAUCCAAUAAGUAGAAAUUCUUCUAUGGAAGGCCACACACAUUAAUAGCAGUUCUUUCAAGGCGAAUUAUGCCAAGCCAAUCAAGGAAUUGCUGCCAUGGCAUGUAGUUGUGGUUUCUUAAUGUGUUCGAGUAACUUCUGCACAAGGAAUCAAAUUAAUCUUUAAAUCCGUGAAAUUAAAAGGGAUGCAGAAUUACAAAACUAAUAAUAAGAACAAUAAUAAUAAGAUGGAUAGAAGCAUGACCUGCCAAUGCAUGAUUUCGGCAAGCCUUUGCUUUGGUUCACCACUUCCCAAUGUAGUAAGAAUUUCAACAGCAUCCCAGAAUUUCAAUAGCAUCCCAAUGAUAACUCAUACUUGAUGAGCCUUGAUGGAGAAAUGAAAGUCCAGUUAAAAUUAUUCAAAAUGCAUAUCCACUCGCCAAGAACAUAUGCACCCAGAAAUCUCCUUAAAUAAAUAAGGUUUUAACAAGGUGAAUGCUUUGCUUUUUCUUUUUUUGGGAAGAACUUCAAAGUAAACAAAGGUAAGACUGUUGGGUUUUGAUGUUUACCUUGUGUGGGAGAAAUAUGAUGUUUACCCAGAAAUCACAUUUUUGUUUUCAGAAUAAAUGGUUUUUUCCACCUCUGCAUUUGACAUUGAAAAAACUUGAAUAAAUACCAAAUAAUUAAGAAAUGCUGCUGAUUUAAUUUACAAAGGAAUGGUGCAUGUGAAGAGAAAUUGACAUAUGACAAUCACAUUCAGCACAAUCAAUUCUCAUCCUAAUUUAGAAGACUAAUCAAACUAACUGCAGCAAUAACAUCUUUUCCACGAAGUCUACUAACUUCUGCACAUAGAGUCAAAAUUAAUCCGUUAUAUCCAUGAAAAGAAUGAAGGCAGAAUUACAUUAAAAAAUGAAUAAAAAUGAUGGUUAAAAGAAUGACCUGCCAAUGCAUUUAAAAUCUCUUUGAAUUUGUUUCCCACAUCCCAAUUUAUUAGAAUUUCAGGUGAGUAAAAAAAGAAAAAAAUGAUUCCUCUAGCUUGAUGAGCCUGUAUAUGUGGGAAAAAAGUGUUAAAAUAUUAUCAUAAAGCAAACAAAUUCUCAAUUACACAAAAAAUAAAAGAAAGAAAAGGUACGCUGUAUAUUGAUCUUGAUUGUAAAGAAAUAAUGACAAAAGGAUACUUACAACUCAAAGGUAAUACACUGCUCAUUUUGGAAGAAACACAUCCAACACUUCAAAACUUAUCCUUCAUUGAUCUGUGUAAAUAGAAUCAUAGAGUGAAGAUUUUCUCAUGUAAGUUUAGUUUGCAAAUUGGAGAGAAAAAGGACCAACUUACCGAAGCUUCAUCAUCCAGUAGAUAGCGGCCCUCUCUUUGAAUUCUUUGGUUAUCAACUUCAAUAUUUGGGAUGUGAGAAAUGAAAGCCCAAUCCGCACCCUUUCUAUUUCCACAUCUUUCCUUCAAUUGGGGACAGUCAUCGAUAUCCAAUUCUCGUAACGAGGUGAGGGAACGCAUCUCUUGAGGCAGACACUUUAUUGCCGGACAAAUCUCAAUGGUUAGUCUUUGAAGACAAGUGAGAUUCCGCAGUCCAUCUGGAGGUAGAGAUUCGAGCUCUUUAAUGUCCCUAAUCCAAAGGUUCUUCAAUUUAGAGAGAGGAGGAAUGAUUGAGGAAGAAGAAGAGAUUGAUGGUGUGAAUAUUUGGUGCACAAGUUGUGGGCUUGCGUGCAGCAAAUGUAGUGAAUCAUCGAGAGAUGGAAACUGAGGGAUGGACUUCAAAUUAGGGCAGUCCUCACAAACGAAAUAUGAAAGACAAGGAAAUUGGAGUAGCUCAAGAGCUGUCGAAUCAUCCUCCUUCUUCUUCUGCCAUCCUUUAAGCUUAGGACAACCAUAUAGCACGAGAGUCUUUAGGGAUGGAAAGAAUGAUGUUGGUUGUCCCUCAAUCUCCAUGUAUUCUAAAUCAUCUACUCCCCAAAUCUCUAGAUAUUGAAGAGAAGGGAUUUGAUCCAUUGGUGGGAGAUGCUGAUAUCUCUUGCAAUUCCAUAUACAGAGAUAGACAAGAUUCGUGAGGGAAGAGAACCAACUUGGGAACCUCCUGCCUCCAUAGCCAAACACAAGUAACUCUUUAAGAUUGGGAUGUGGUUGGAGAUUUUGGAAUGCCAUUUCAUCUCUAUCAACAUUUGAAUCUUCCCAACUCUCCUCCCAACGUAGUUUCAAUGAUUGAAGGAGUGGCUUCUCUUUCAAAUUAACAUUUACAAUCUCAUCAUCCACACAUCCCAGAUUUCUAAUUUCAAGACGUCCCCUCAAAUUGUUAAGCUUAUUCAAUUCAUUUAUUUUUCCAACAUCCUUUGAGGAAAUAUGCCCUUUUCCCACUACGAACAGUGACAACGUCUGAAGUGAAGUCAACUGCCCAAGCCCACGUGGCAUAUGAGUCAAAGAGUUACAACCUUCACAAUAUAAAUGCCUAAGAUUCACAAGCUUUUUAAUAUCUUUAGGCAAUUCUUUGAGCUCGUCACAAUAAGAGACAUCUAAUACUUGUAAAUUCAGCAAAUCCGUAAUAGAAUUUGAAAGUGCUUUAAGUUUCUCGUUAUCGGAAACGUCAAGAUAUCUUAGAUAUUUUAGCAUUUUUAUAGAAUUAUCCAUUAUUCUAUAUGAAUGCAUAGUAAAUACACGCAAAAAUUUUAAAUUUUUAUAAAUAAAUAGCUGAUCGACAUUAUGUUCCUCAGACAAAAGAAUCGAUCGUACUCUUUUUGCAUUGUUAAGAAUUUCUUGUGGUGCAACAACUAAAUUCAAUGCUACAUGAUGGGUUUUCUCAUCAAUAUUUGGUGCAUCAGAAUUUACUAGCUGAAUCCUCUUUCCACCCACUGUGGUUGCGAGAUCGUGCAUUAAAUCAUGCAUUUUACAGCUUUCUACAUUUCCACAUCUAUCUCUUUCCACCUCUUGAAAAAAUGACCUCCACCACAGUUUCAUAAAAUAUUCAAGCCCAAUAUCUUCAAGACAAUCACUCGUACUUGGUGAUUCAAUAAACCCUUGUGCAAUCCAAAGAUGGAUUAAUGUUUUCACAUCAAUCACAUAAUCUUUUGGAUAUAUUGCGCAAUAUGCAAAACAAUGCUUCAAAUGUGAUGGGAGAUGAUCAUAACUUAGCUUCAGUGUUGGCAUAAUAUCAUUACCAUCUUGACUUAUUCUUGAGAGUUCUUUUGUUAAAAAGGGCAACCACUCAGUUUCUGGAUUUUUCGCAUACAAGAGACUUGCUAUAGUUUUUAUUGCAAGUGGAACUCCAUGACAUUUCUUCAAAAUCUCCUUUCCCAUCUCUCUUACAUUUGCAUGUUUUGGCUCCUGCCCCUUAAGUGCUACAUGCAAAAACAAAGACCAAGACUCAUCCAGAGACAACCCUUCCAAAACAUGUGGUGCUGUUGUGCCAGAUAUAUCUGCCACCUUUUUAGAGCGAGUGGUUAUUAAUAUCUUACUUCCACUAGAGCCACCCACUAAUAAUCUCUUUAAAUUCUGCCAUUUUUCUCUAUUCUCAUUCCACACAUCAUCUAGAACAAGCAGAUAUUUCUUCCCACUAAUAAUUUUUUCCAGUCUAGACUUCAAUGCUUCUAACCCAAGAUCUUCCGAUUUAUUCCCUGUUGCAGACUCUAGAAUCUUUCCAACAGUCAUUUUCACAUCAAAAGGUUCUGAAACACACACCCAUAUUCUUGGCUCAAAUGAAUUCUUAAUCAUUUCAUCAUUCAAUAUGAUUUGAGCAAGAGUGGUCUUCCCUAAUCCUCCAAUUCCAACAAUUGAGAGGACUGAAACACACUCUUCACCAUUGGAAGACAAUACAAGUUGUGUAAUUGCCUUUUUGUCACCCUCUCUCCCAAUAACCACUUCAGGUAAAGAGGACGUAGUUUGAUCCCUCCAUACAAUACUCUCCUGAUCAGUACGAACCUCUAAAUUAAAUUUUCUGUCAGCUUCAAUAUCAGCUAGCCUCUCCCUAAUCGCCUUAACUUUAUGACCCAUUUUAAAACCAUAAACAAGUUUAUUUGAAGACGAAAAGAAGAGACUUACCUCCUUUGUCAUUCUAUUUCCAGUCAUCACUCGGCGCCUUAGGGCUUCUGUGGCGAAGUCAUCUACCAAAUCAUCAGCAUCAUAAACCACUUCUUCUAGCCUCUCAAGCCAGCAUUUCACUUGACGGUUAAGUUUCUGCUGCUCCUCAGCAUCCAGAAGAACGUUGCGAAUACUAGAAACUGUGGCCUCAAGUUUCUUAAGCUCACCUUUGACGCCCCACCACAAUCCGAUCUCAUGAAGGGCUCGAGAACCCAGCUUGGUAAUGAUAUCUCCGACAACGUUAGAGAGAACUCCGUCGGNNNNNNNNNNNNNNNNNNNNNNNNNNNNNNNNNNNNNNNNNNNNNNNNNUUUAAAUAAAAAAAAAAAAAAAGAAGUGGAGGAAAAAGCGGUCCGUUAACUUUGGACGGCGCUGGUUUGCUUUAAUUUAAAAAGUAAAAUAUAUUAAUAAAUUUAUAUAUAGAAUGAAAGUUAGUUAUUUUUUAUAAAAUAAUUUUAUUUUUUAUUAAAUAAAUUUUAUGAGUGAUUUAAAUCGUUAAAAAAUAUAAAAUAUAUUUUUGAUGUUACUAAAAUUUUGUUAUUGAAAUGAAAGUAUUUUUAUAUAUUUUGUGAUGAUGUAUAAAGUUACAUUAGGUAUAAUAUGAUGUAUAGUAAAUUUAUUAUGAGUUUUAAUGACUUUAAAUCGAUUUAAAUUUUAAUAUUGAUAGCGGUUCAAUUUCUGAAUUAUUAUCGAAAUGUAUAGCAGGAGCUCAAGAGUAUCCUGUUGCAUAUUAUAGAUCCAUCGAUAUAAAAAAUAUGGCAUAUGCACACAUUCAGGAUUUAGAGAUUCCUUCAGCUAGUGGCAGAUAUUGUUUAAUUAAAAGAGAUGUCCACUUCUCUGAGGUUUUGAAGAUUGUGUCAGCAACAUUAUCCUACAUUGCACCUUCCAAAAAACUAUGGUUUUUUUUAUAUUUUUGCAUGCUCAUGUUGGACCAGCUAUAUGAAUGGCUAAGAUAUAUAAUUAUUUGGAUAACUGAGAAAUAGUUAUUUUGAAUGAUUAAUUUGAUCAUGGAAUAUAAUCUGAGUUGCAGAUGUGGCUCUGAAUUGAAUUACUUAACAAAGUAUGAGGUAUCAAAGAAAAAAGCGAAAACUUUGGAUAUUGAUUUCAUUCCUUUGGAGGUUAGUUGAAGGACACUAUUGAAAGCUUGAAGGAGAAGAGCCUCCUCAGCAUUUGAUUUUGGCUGUCGGAUAAAAAGCAAUGCAAAUAUUACAUUGGCCUUUCAGGUUCAUUGGCUUUAGCUUUCUAUUGGUGUAAGGUAUUAUUGCCCUUCAGAAUUGUCUUUAUUUAAAAAAAGUGAACCCAUACAAUUUGUAAAAUAUAUUAAAAUUUGUAUACAGCUGUAUAUAAACAUAUUACAUGUGUCGCUUGUUUCUGGUAGAUAAAGUUCAUUUCAGGUCUGAUUUCUGAGGAAGUUGCUCUUUUUUUUUAUCUGAUUUCAAGUCUCAUUCCAAAGAAGAAGACACAAGAAAAAGAAAAUGUGUAAUCCACCAAUUCAGAUUUAGUUCAGUCUUUUCAAAGUAUAUUCAGAUUUCAUAGCCAAUUCAUUUAAUGCUGUAUCUGAUUUCUGGUUCUUGUGAUACGCUCUUACAAAAUUCAUUUAAAAUUCAGUACUCUUACACAUUUUGGAAACACAAUUUAUACAAAAACUGAUUUCUCAGGAAAAAAAAGGAAAAUAAUGUUAUUUGCAUUGAAUGAACAAAUGAUUAGCAUAGUAGCAAAACUACUUAAAAUAAGAGAAAUUAGAAACCAAAAAGCAGCACAGCAUGAGUCUGGGCAUUGCAUGUUGGAUGAUCGAAACAGAGGUCUUGAGUGCGAAUCUAGAUCCUGAAAUACGCAGGCCUGCAAAAAGUCAUUCGAAGAAGUGUGCAAAACUCCCAUCAUUCAGCUUUCUUUCUGCUUCCCGCUCAGCAGGAUUACUAUGUACUGAGACAGAUAGGAAACUUAUCCCGGUGAGUUUUUAUUCCGGGAUGUCAAGGGCACAAUGCGCAGCUUAGUGAAUCUCCAUCAUCUUUGCCACAGGUGUAAGUUAUGAAGAUAGUUGCUAGAUGGAGGAUUUUCACACUAGUGAUUAAGCAUCUGUUUCAAGCCAGAAUCAUCAUUAAAUCACAGAUUUGCUUUACAAGCAAUAACUAGAGGGAUUUCAUAUUACAAGUAGAGUCUUUAUAACCUACUGAAUCGCUUAUUUACGAAGACAGAAGAAUAGGAGAGCUCACGUUUUGUUUUUACUGCACAAAUACUGCAUAUGGAAUCUGAGUGAGAAGUUACUCCCUAAAAAUUUCAAAAGUGUUUUUGAGAGGUACCUUUGAGCGAAUCUUCUGGCAACAGACUCAAAGAAGUCAUCCAAUAAGUAGAAAUUCUUCUAUGGAAGGCCACACACAUUAAUAGCAGUUCUUUCAAGGCGAAUUAUGCCAAGCCAAUCAAGGAAUUGCUGCCAUGGCAUGUAGUUGUGGUUUCUUAAUGUGUUCGAGUAACUUCUGCACAAGGAAUCAAAUUAAUCUUUAAAUCCGUGAAAUUAAAAGGGAUGCAGAAUUACAAAACUAAUAAUAAGAACAAUAAUAAUAAGAUGGAUAGAAGCAUGACCUGCCAAUGCAUGAUUUCGGCAAGCCUUUGCUUUGGUUCACCACUUCCCAAUGUAGUAAGAAUUUCAACAGCAUCCCAGAAUUUCAAUAGCAUCCCAAUGAUAACUCAUACUUGAUGAGCCUUGAUGGAGAAAUGAAAGUCCAGUUAAAAUUAUUCAAAAUGCAUAUCCACUCGCCAAGAACAUAUGCACCCAGAAAUCUCCUUAAAUAAAUAAGGUUUUAACAAGGUGAAUGCUUUGCUUUUUCUUUUUUUGGGAAGAACUUCAAAGUAAACAAAGGUAAGACUAUUGGGUUUUGAUGUUUACCUUGUGUGGGAGAAAUGUGAUGUUUACCCAGAAAUCACAUUUUGUUUUCAGAAUAAAUGGUUUUUUCCACCUCUGCAUUUGACAUUGAAAAAACUUGAAUAAAUACCAAAUAAUUAAGAUAUGCUGCUGAUUUAAUUUACAAAGGAAUGGCGCAUGUGAAGAGAAAUUGACAUAUGACAAUCACCUUCAGCACAAUCAAUUCUCAUCCUAAUUUAGAAGACUAAUCAAACUAAUUGCAGCAAUAACAUCUUUUCCACGAAGUCUACUAACUUCUGCACAUAGAGUCAAAAUUAAUCCGUUAUAUCCAUGAAAAGAAUGAAGGCAGAAUUACAUUAAAAAAUGAAUAAAAAUGACGGUUAAAAGAAAGACCUGCCAAUGCAUUUAAAAUCUCUUUGAAUUUGUUUCCCACAUCCCAAUUUAUUAGAAUUUCAGGUGAGUAAAAAACAAAUAAAUGAUUCCUCUAGCUUGAUGAGCCUGUACAUGUGGGAAAAAAGUGUUAAAAUAUUAUCAUAAAGCAAAUAAAUUCUCAAUUAUACAAAAAAUAAAAGAAAGAAAAGGUACUCUGUAUAUUGAUCUUGAUUGUAAAGAAAUAAUGACAAAAGGUACUCUGUAUAUUGAUCUUGAUUGUAAAGAAAUAAUGACAAAAGGAUACUUACGAACUCAAAGGUAAUACACUGCUCAUUUUGGAAGAAACACAUCCAACACUUCAAAACUUAUCCUUCAUUGAUCUGUGUAAAUAGAAUCAUAGAGUGAAGAUUUUCUCAUGUAAGUUUAAUUUGCAAAUUGGAGAGAAAAAGGACCAACUUACCGAAGCUUCAUCAUCCAGUAGAUAGCGGCCCUCUCUUUGAAUUCUUUGGUCAUCAACUUCAAUAUUUGGGAUGUGAGAAAUGAAAGCCCAAUCCGCACCCUUUCUAUUUCCACAUCUUUCCUUCAAUUGGGGACGGUCAUUGAUAUUCAAUUCUCGUAACGAGGUGAGGGAACGCAUCUCUUGAGGCAGACACUUUAUUGCCGGACAAAUCUGAAUGGUUAGUCUUUGAAGACAAGUGAGAUUCCACAGUCCAUCUGGAGGUAGAGAUUCCAGCUCUUCAAUGUCCGUAAUCUGAAGGAUCUUCAAUUUAGAGAGAGGAGGAAUGAUUGAGGAAGAAGAAGAGAUUGAUGGUGUGAAUAUUUGGUGCACAAGUUGUGGGCUUGCGCAGUGCAAAUAUAGUGAAUGAUCGAGAGAUGGAAACUGAGGGAUGGAGUUCAAAUUAGGGCAGUCCCUACAAACGAAAUACGAAAGACAAGGAAAUUGGAGUAGCUCAAGAGCUGUCGAAUCAUCCUUCUUCUUCUGCAAUCCUUUAAGCUUAGGACAACCAUAUAGCACGAGAACCCUUAGGGAUGGAAAGAAUGAUGUUGCUUGUCCCUCAAUCUCAAUGUACUCUAAAUCAUCUACUUCACGAAUAUGUAGAUAUUGAAGAGAAGGGAUUUGAUCCAUUGGUGGGAGAUGCUGAUAUCUAUUGCAAUUCCGUAUACAGAGAUAGACAAGAUUCGUGAGGGAAGAGAACCAACUUGGGAACCUCCUGCCUCCAUUGCCAAGCACACGUAACUCUUUAAGAUUGGGAUGCGGUUGGAGAUUUUGGAAUGCCAUUUCAUCUCUAUCAACAUUUGAAUCUUCCCAACUCUCCUCGCAACGUAAUUCCAAUGAUUGAAGGACUGGUUUCUCUUUCAUAUUAACAUUUACAAUCUCAUUAUCCACACAACCCAGAUUUAUAAUUUCAAGACGUCCCCUCAAAUUCUUAAGCUUAUUCAGUUCAUUUAUUUUUUCAACAUCCUUUGAGGAAAUAUGCCCUUUUGCCACUACGAACAGCGACAACGUCUGAAGUGAAGUCAACUGCCCAAGCCCACGUGGCAUAUGAGUCAAAGAGUAACAACCUUCACAAUAUAAAUGCCUAAGAUUUACAAGCUUUUUAAUAUCUUUAGGCAAUUCUUUGAGCUGGACACAGUAAGAGACAUCUAAUACUUGUAAAUUCAGCAAAUCGGUAAUAGAAUGUGAAAGUGCUUUAAGUCCCUUGUUAUCGGAACGUCAAGAUAUCUUAUAUAUUUUAGCAUUUUUAAAGAAUUAUCCAUCGUUGUAUAUGAAUGCAUCAUAAAUACACGUAAAAAUUUUAAAUUUUUAUAAAUAAAUAGUUGAUCGCAAUCAUAUUUCUCAAGCAAAAGAAGCGAUCGUACUCUUUUUGCGUUAUUAAGAAUUUCUUUUGAUGCAACAUCCAAAUUCAAUGCUACAUGAUGGAUUUUCUCAUUAAUAUUUAGUAUAUCAGAAUUUACUAGCUGAAUCCUCUUCCCACCCACUGUGGUUGCGAGAUCGUGCAUUAAAUCAUGCAUUUUACAGCUCUCUACAUUUCCAUAUCUAUCUCUUUCCACUUCUUGAAAAAAUGACCUCCACCACAGUUUCAUAAAAUAUUCAAGCCUAAUAUCUUCAAGAUAAUCACUCGUACUUGGUGACUCAAUAAACCCUUGUGCAAUCCAAAGAUGGAUUAAUCUUUUCACAUCAAUCACAUAAUCUUUUGGAUAUAUUGCGCAAUAUGCAAAACAAUGCUUCAAAUGUGAUGGGAGAUGAUCAUAACUUAGCUUCAGUGUUGGCAUAAUAUCAUUACCAUCUUGACUUAUUCUUGAGAGUUCUUUUGUUAAAAAGGGCAGCCACUCAGUUUCUGGAUUUUUCGCAUACAAGAGACUUGCGAUGGUUUUUAUUGCAAGAGGAACUCUAUGACAUUUCUUCAAAAUCUCCUUUCCCAUCUCUCUUACAUUUGCAUGUUUUGGCUCCUGCCCCUCAAGUGCUACAUGCAAAAACAAAGACCAAGACUCAUCCGGAGACAACCCUUCCAAAACAUGUGGUGCCAUUGUGCUAGAUAUAUCUGCCACCUUUUUAGAGCGAGUGGUUAUUAAUAUCUUACUUCCACUAGAGCCACCCACUAAUAAUCUCUUUAAAUUCUCCCAUUUUUCUCUAUUCUCAUUCCACACAUCAUCUAGAACAAGCAGAUAUUUCUUCCCACUAAUAAUUUUUUCCAGUCUAGACUUCAAUGCUUCUAACCCAAGAUCUUCCGGUCUAUUCCCUGUUGCAGACUCUAGAAUCUUUCCAACAGUCAUUUUCACAUCAAAAGGUUCUGAAACACACACCCAUAUUCUUGGCUCAAAUGAAUUCUUAAUCAAUUCAUCAUUGAAUAUGAUUUGAGCAAGAGUGGUCUUCCCUAAUCCUCCAAUUCCAACAAUUGAGAGGACUGAAACACACUCUUCACCAUUGGAAGACAAUACAAGUUCUGUAAUUGCCUUUUUGUCACCCUCUCUCCCAAUAACCACUUCAGGUAAAGAGGACGUAGUUUGAUCCCUCCAUACAAUACUCUCCUGAUCCGUACGAAACUCUAAAUUAAAUUUUCUGUCAGCUUCAAUAUCAGCUAGCCUCUCCCUAAUCUCCUUAACUUUAUGACCCAUUUUAAAACCAUAAACAAGUUGAUUUGAAGACGAAAAGAAGAGACUUACCUCCUUUGUCAUUCUAUUUCCAGUCAUCACUCGGCGCCUUAGAGCUUCUGUGGCGAAGUCAUCUACCAAGUCAUCAGCAUCAUAAACAACUUCUUCUAGCCUCUCAAGCCAGCCUUUCACUUGACGGUUAAGUUUCUGCUGCUCCUCAGCAUCCAGAAGAACGUUGCGAAUACUAGAAACUGUGGCCUCAAGUUUCUUAAGCUCACCUUUGACGCCCCACCACAAUCCGAUCUCAUGAAGGGCUCGAGAACCCAGCUUGGUAAUGAUAUCUCCGACAACGUUAGAGAGAACUCCGUCGGCCAUUUUGGGCGUUUUGGUUUGAUUGUAAAAGGAUGAAAUGUUGCUGUGAAGAAGAAGACGGUGACAACAAAUGACUGAUUUAAAGAAAAAAAAAGAAGUGGAGGAAAAAGCAUUCUUCUAAAUGAUUAUCUUCGGUCGGUCAACUUUGAACGGCGCUGGUUUGCUUUUUAAAUAAUAUAUUAAUACAUUUAUAUAUAUACAGAUGGAAAGAAAGUUAUUUUUUAAAAAAUAAUUUUAUUUUUUAUUAGAAAUGCAUUUUUUUUAAUUAAAUUUGAUGAGUGAUUCAAAUAUUAAAAAAUAUAAAAUAUAUAUAUACAGAUGGAAAGAAAGUUAUUUUUUAAAAAAUAAUUUAAUUUUUAAUAGAAAUGUAUUUUUUUUAAUUAAAUUUGAUGAGUGAUUCAAUUAUUAAAAAAUAUAAAAUAUAUUUUCGAUAUUGCUGAGAUUAAAUUGAUGUUGUAGUCGGAAUGAAACUGUACUAUAAUUGGUUAGAAUUUAUAAGAGAGGAAAUAUGAGAUAGUGGUGGGUACCUAUAGCAGCAAGGCAGUGAUGAGUACCUAUGACAGCUACUGUGACGCUAAAGUCAGUAUUUUGAAAAAUAGAAAAAAUUUAAUGAAUAACUUAGAGUUUGAGUAGUAUCAUAGAUAAUGUACCUUUAUCUUCGUAAUCGUUCUCCUUUUAUACUAUGAGAAAAUGUAUAUAAAUAUAUCAUGAAACAACAGGGCCUAAACUGGUCCAAAUAACUUUUGGACUCACUUUUCACUUGACCCAAAAUGGUUAAUUCAGGUUAUUUAGUAGUUUCGUGCUAGCUAUUAUAUACAAUUCCAAAAUCUCCCGAUGUGGGACAGCUUUCGCAGCGGAAGCGAACAGCUGACCAUUACACUCGAUCCCGCUAAAUUUGCGACGUCCUCGUCGCAGUUGAAUUGGAUACAAUUGCUAAUUAGGACCGAACCCUUAGGUAUUGUGGUUCGCUAGUACGUCGGGCGGCUCCACCUCGUCUCACACGGGUAGCUCUUUCCUUACAGGCUCACUAGCUCUACAUAAUUUGUUUGAUCUAGAGUGGCUCUAAUACCAAUUGAAACAGUCAGGUCCAAACUUGCUCAAAUAACUUUUGGACCCACUUUCUACUUUGCCCAAAAUAGUUAAUCUAAGUUAUUUAGUAGUUUUGUGCUACCUAUUAUAUACAAUUCCGAUUUUCUAUAAUCUCCCGGUGUGGGACGGCUUCCGCAGUGGAAGCAGGUAGCUGACCGUUGCACUUGGUCCCGCUAAAUUUGCGACGUCCUCGUCGCAACUGAAUCGGAUACAAUUGCUAACCAGGAUCGAACCCUUAGGUAUUGUAGUUCGCUAGUACCUCGAGCGGCUCCACCUCGUCUCACACGGGUAGCCCUUUCCUCGUAGGCCCACUAGCACAAUUUGUAUCUAGGGUGGCUCUAAUACCAAUUGAAACAGUCGGGUCCAAACUGGCCCAAAUAACUUUUGGACCCACUUUCCACUUGUCCCAAAAUGGUUAACUCAAGUUAUUUAAUAGUUUCGUGCUAACUAUUAUAUACAAUUUCGAUUUUCUAUAAUCUCCCAAUGUGGGACAGCUUCCGCAGCGGAAACAGGUAGCUGAUCGUUAUAAUCGGUCUCGCUAAAUUUGCGAUGUCCUCGUCGCAACUGAAUUUGAUACAAUUGCUAACCAAGACCGAACCUUUAGGUACUGUGGUUCGCUAGUACCUCUGGCGGCUCCACCUCAUCUAACACGGGUAGCUCUUUCCUCGCAGGCCCACUAGCUCUGCACAAUUUGUCUAACUCAGGGUGGCUCUGAUACCAAUUAAAAUAGUCGGGCCUAACCUGCCCCCAAAGGUUUGACUUUUGAAUCUGUGAGCGGACUUUAGGCCGUCGAACCUGCUGCCGAAAGUGCCCUGUCCAGCCUUUUUCAGCUUGCUUCCUACGUGUGUUCUUCUAUGUUCUUAGGGGGUAGUUUUAAGUGUUGUAAAAGUUAUAUUUGGUUCCUCAUUUAAGUCCAUCUGUGUAGGAUCGGACUUGGAAGAUCGUAGAAACUUGCAGUAAGAUAACUGUAUCAAAAUUAGGCGUGCGUCAGCCAGAGGUGAGUAGAACUAAACUCAAUUAUUAUUUUAAAAAAACCAAAUGUUUUAAGCAUACUUAUGCAUCACAAAUGCUAUGUAUAUAUAUGAUUAUGGUGCUUUGCAUUAGAAUUCACGAAUAUAAUGCAUUGCAUAAUUUAUUAUUGUUGUUGAUGUAUGUUAGAUGACCUUCUAGCCCUCAAGUAUGUUAUGGUAUGUUAUGACGGAUAUGGAAAGAGCAGGACUUGCUCAUUCUACGCCCUUGGCACUGUGUAAGGGAAAGACCAGGGUUACACAUUUUAUAUCCGUGGCACUAUGGAUAUGUUAUUUUAUGUUUAAGAGGAAAUUCUGAAAAGCGCUUGUCGUGGGCUGGGCACUAUUGGAAUCUAUAGAGAGUCACUGGUGACAAGUCUAUCUUGAUAUGAAUUGUUUGUGUUGUGACACAUUUAUACGAUCAUAUGUCUUAUUAAACUGCUUUUGUUAUGUUUCUGCUCACUAGCCUCUUAUAGUUUAUCCCUUUUCCCUAACUCCAGAUUUGCAGGAUCAGAAUUAGCUCGAGAGGUGGGCCGAGGUGUUGGUAUAGUCCAUUGUAAUAACAUAGUUGUGGACAUGUAUUAAUUUGUGAAUUUGAAUUGUGUUUUGCGUGAGUUUUCUUUAUAAUCCUUAUUUUAUGAUUUUUUUAUGUAAAAGAUUUUAAGUCUAAAUUAUGUUUGAACUAAGCUUGAGGUGUGUAAUAUUGACUAUACUAAAACAUUUGAUGAGAGCUCUAGUAUGAAUUUAUGUUUCCAGUUCUGAUACAUGCGCAGGUCAAGUUUUUGUUAUUGAAAUAGAAGUGUUUUUACAUGUUUGUGUGAUUAUGUAUGGAUCUAUAUCAAAUGUAACAGGAUGUAUAGUAAAUUUGCUAUGAGUUCCGGCAACCUUAGAUUGAUCUGAACCGUAGUGCCGAUAGCGGUCUGAGUUGCAGAUGUGGCUCCGAAUUGAAUUAUUUAACAAAGUAUGGGGUAUCAAAGGAAAAAAGUGAAAACUUUGGGUAUUGACUUCAUUCCUUUGGAGGUUAGUCUGAAGGACACUAUUGAAAGCUUGAAGGAUAAGGGCUUCCUCAGCAUUUAAUAUUGGCUGUUGGAUAAAAAGCAAUGCAAAUAUUACAUUGGCUUUUCAGGUUCAUUGGCUUUAGCUUCCUAUUGGUGCAAGAUAUUAUUACCCUUCAGGAUUGUCUUUAUUUGAAAAAAGUGGACCAAUACAAUUUGUAAAAUACAUAACAAUUUGUAUACAACUGUAUAUAAACAUAUUACAUGUGUCACUUGUUUCACUGGUGGAUGAAGUUCAUUUCAGGUCUGAUUUCUGAGGAAGUUACUCUUUUUUUUAUCUGAUUUCAGGUCUCAUUCCAAAGAAUAAGACACAAGAAAAAGAAAAUGUGUAAUCCACCAAUUCAGAUUUAGUUCAGUCUUUUCAAAGUAUAUUCAGAUUUCAUAGCCAACUCAUUUUAUGCUGUAUCUGAUUUCUGGUUCUUGUGAUAUGCUCUUACAAAAUUCAUCUAAAAUUCAGUGCUCUUACACAUUCUGGAAACAACAAUUUAUACAAAAACUGAUUUCUCAGGGAAAAAAAGGAAAAUAAUGUUAUUUGCAUUGAAUGAACAAAUGAUUAGCAUAGUAGCAAAACUACUUAAAAUAAGAGAAAUUAGAAACAAAAAAGCAGCACAGCAUGAGUCUGGGCAUUGCAUGUUGGAUGAUCGAAACAGAGGUGUUGAGUGAGAAUCUAGAUCCUGAAAUACGCGGGCCUGCAAAAAGUCAUUCGAAGAAGUGUGCAAAACUCCCAUCAUUCAGCUUUCAUUUCUGCUUCCGGCUUAGCAGGAUUACUAUGUACUGAGUUGUUUUCUGAACUGUGACAGAUAGGAAACUUAUCCCGGUGAGAUUUUAUUCCGGAAUGUCAAGGGCACAAUGCGUAGCUUAGUGAAUCUCCAUCAUCUUUGCCGCAGGUGUAAGUUAUGAAGAUAAUUGCUAGAUGGAGGAUUUUCACACUAGUAAUUUAGCAUCUGUUUCAAGCCAGAAUCAUCAUUAAAUCACAGAUUUGCUUUACAAGCAAUAACUAGGGGGAUUUCAUAUUACAAGUAGUCUUUAUAACUUACUGAAUCGCUUAUUUUUGAAGACAGAGGAUGAGGAGAGCUCACGUUUUGUUUUUACUGCACAAAUACUGCAUAUGGAAUCUGAGUGAGGAGUUACUCUCUAAAAAUUUCAAAAGUGUUUUUGAGAGGUACCUUUGCGUGAAUCUUCUGGCAACAGACUCAAAGUAGUCAUCCAAUAAGUAGAAAUUCUUCUAUGGAAGGCCACACACAUUAAUAGCAGUUCUUUCAAGGCGAAUUAUGCCAAGCCAAUCAAGGAAUUGCUGCCAUGGCAUGUAGUUGUGGUUUCUUAAUGUGUUCGAGUAACUUCUGCACAAGGAAUCAAAUUAAUCUUUAAAUCCGUGAAAUUAAAAGGGAUGCAGAAUUACAAAACUAAUAAUAAUAACAAUAAUAAUAAGAUGGAUAGAAGCAUGACCUGCCAAUGCAUGAUUUCGGCAAGCCUUUGCAUUGGUUCACCACUUCCCAAUGUAGUAAGAAUUUCAACAGCAUCCCAGAAUUUCAAUAGCAUCCCAAUGAUAACUCAUACUUGAUGAGCCUUGAUGGAGAAAUGAAAGUCCAGUUAAAAUUAUUCAAAAUGCAUAUCCACUCGCCAAGAACAUAUGCACCCAGAAAUCUCCUUAAAUAAAUAAGGUUUUAACAAGGUGAAUGCUUUGCUUUUUCUUUUUUUGGGAAGAACUUCAAAGUUAACAAAGGUAAGACUAUUGAGUUUUGAUGUUUACCUUGUGUGGGAGAAAUAUGAUGUUUACCCAGAAAUCACAUUUUGUUUUCAGAAUAAAUGGUUUUUUCCACCUCUGCAUUUGACAUUGAAAAAACUUAAAUAAAUACCAAACAAUUAAGAUAUGCUGCUGAUUUAAUUUACAAAGGAAUGGUGCAUGUGAAGAGAAAUUGACAUAUGACAAUCACCUUCAGCACAAUCAAUUCUCAUCCUAAUUUAGAAGACUAAUCAAACUAAUUGCAACAAUAACAUCUUCUCCACGACGUCUACUACCUUCCGCACAUAGAGUCAAAAUUAAUCCGUUAUAUCCAUGAAAAGAAUGAAGGCAGAAUUACAUUAAAAAAUGAAUAAAAAUGAUGGCUAAAAGAAAGACCUGCCAAUGCAUUUAAGAUCUCUUUGAAUUUGUUUCCCACAUCCCAAUUUAUUAGAAUUUCAGGUGACUAAAAAACAAAUAAAUGAUUCCUCUAGCUUGAUGAGCCUGCAUAUGUGGGAAAAAAGUGUUAAAAUAUUAUCAUAAAGCAAAUAAAUUCUCAAUUAUAAAAAAAAAAAUAAAAGAAAAAAAAAGGUACUCUGUAUAUUGAUAUUGAUUGUAAAGAAAUAAUGACAAAAGGAUACUUACGACUCAAAGGUAAUACACUGCUCAUUUUGGAAGAAACACAUCCAACACUUCAAAACUUAUCCUUCAUUGAUCUGUGUAAAUAGAAUCAUAGAGUGAAGAUUUUCUCAUGUAAGUUUAAUUUGCAAAUUGGAGAGAAAAAGGACCAACUUACCGAAGCUUCAUCAUCCAGUAGAUAGCGGCCCUCUCUUUGAAUUCUUUGGUCAUCAACUUCAAUAUUUGGGAUGUGAGAAAUGAAAGCCCAAUCCGCACCCUCUCUAUUUCCACAUCUUUCCUUCAAUUGGGGACAGUCAUUGAUAUUCAAUUCUCGUAACGAGGUGAGGGAACGCAUCUCUUGAGGCAGACACUUUAUUGCCGGACAAAUGUCAAUGGUUAGUCUUUGAAGACAAGCGAGAUUCCGCAGUCCAUCUGGAGGUAGAGAUUCGAGCUCUUAAAUAUUUUAACAUUUUUAUAGAAUUAUCCAUCGUUCUUCUAUAUGAAUAUAUAGUAAAUACACGCAAAAAUUUUAAAUUUUUAUAAAUAAAUAGCUGAUUGACAUCAUGUUUCUUAAACAAAAGAAUCGAUCGUACUCUUUUAGCAUUGUUAAGAAUUUCUUGUGGUGCAACAUCUAAAUUCAAUGCUACAUGAUGGGUUUUCUCAUCAAUAUUUGGUGUAUUAAAAUUUACUAGCUGAAUCCUCUUCUCAUCCACUCUAGUUGCGAGAUUGUGCAUUAAAUCAUGCAUUUUACAGCUUUCGACAUUUCCACAUCUAUCUCUUUUCACCUCUUGAAAAAAUGACCUCCACCACAGUUUCAUAAAAUAUUCAAGCCCAAUAUCUUCAAGACAAUCACUGGUACCUGGUGACUCAAUAAACCCUUGUGCAACCCAAAAAUGGAUUAAUGUUUUCACAUCAAUCACAUAAUCUUUUGGAUAUAUUGCGCAAUAUGCAAAACAAUGCUUCAAAUGUGAUGGGAGAUGAUCAUAGCUUAGUUUCAGUGUUGGCAUAAUAUCAUUACCAUCUUGACUUAUUCUUGAGAGUUCUUUUCUCAAAAAGGGCAGCCACUCAGUUUCUGGAUUUUUCGCAUACAAGAGACUUGCGAUAGUUUUUAUUGCAAGAGGAACUCCAUGACAUUUCUUCAGAAUCUCCUUUCCCUUCUCUCUUACAUUUGCAUGUUUUGGCUCCUGCCCCUCAAGUGCUACAUGCAAAAACAAAGACCAAGACUCCACCACAGAUAAGCCUUCCAAAACAUGUGGUGCUAUUGUGCCAGAUAUAUCUGCCACCUUUUUAGAGCGAGUGGUUAUUAAUAUCUUACUUCCACUAGAGCCACCCACUAAUAAUCUCUUUAAAUUCUGCCAUGUUUUUCUAUUCUCAUUCCACACAUCAUCUAGAACAAGCAGAUAUUUCUUCCCACAAAUAAUUUUUUCCAGUCUAGACUUCAAUGCUUCUAACUCAAGAUCUUCCGAUUUAUUCCCUGUUGCAGACUCUAGAAUCUUUCCAACAGUCAUUUUCACAUCAAAAGGUUCUGAAACACACACCCAUAUUCUUGGCUCAAAUGAAUUCUUAAUCAAUUCAUCAUUCAAUAUGAUUUGAGCAAGAGUGGUCUUCCCUAAUCCUCCAAUUCCAACAAUUGAGAGGACUGAAACACACUCUUCACCAUUGGAAGACAAUACAAGUUCUGUAAUUGCCUUUUUGUCACCCUCUCUCCCAAUAAUCACUUCAGGUAAAGAGGACGUAGUUUGAUCCCUCCAUACAAUACUCUCCUGAUCAGUACGAACCUCUAAAUUAAAUUUUCUGUCAGCUUCAAUAUCAGCUAGCCUCUCCCUAAUCGCCUUAACUUUAUGACCCAUUUUAAAACCAUAAACAAGUUGAUUUGAAGAUGAAAAGAAGAGACUUACCUCCUUUGUCAUUCUAUUUCCAGUCAUCACUCGGCGCCUUAGAGCUUCUGUGGCGAAGUCAUCUACCAAGUCAUCAGCAUCAUAAACAACUUCUUCUAGCCUCUCAAGCCAGCCUUUCACUUGACGGUUAAGUUUCUGCUGCUCCUCGGCAUCCAGAAGAACAUUGCGAAUACUAGAAACUGUGGCCUCAAGUUUCUUAAGCUCACCUUUGACGCCCCACCACAAUCCGAUCUCAUGAAGGGCUCGAGAACCCAGCUUGGUAAUGAUAUCUCCGACAACAUUAGAGAGAACUCCGUCGGCCAUUUUGGGUGUUUUGGUUUGAUUGUAAAAGCACGAAAUGUUGCUGUGAAGAAGAAGAUGGUGACAACAAAUGACUAAUUUAAAGAAAAAAAAAAGUGAAGGAAAAAGCAUUCUUCAUAAUUAUCUUCGGUCGGUCAGCUUUUGCGGGCGCUGGUUUGCUUUAAUUUAAAAAGUAAAAUAUAUUAAUAAAUUUAUAUAUAGAAUGAAAGUAAGUUAUUUUUUUUUAAAUAAUUUUAUUUUUUUUAUUAAAAAAAUAAUUUUUAUUAAAUAAAUUUUAUGAGUGAUUCAAAUAGUUAAAAAAUAUAAAAUAUGUUUUUGAUGUUACUGAAUUUUGGUUAUUGAAAGGAAAGUAUUUUUAUAUACUUGUGUGAUGAUGUGUAGAAUUAUAUUAGGUGUAACAUAACAUAUAAUAGAUUUGUUAUGAGUUUUAAGGAUUUUAAAUCGAUUUGAAUUCUAAUACUGUAGCGAUUCGAUUUCUGAAUCGUUACGGGAACAAUGAAUUGAUUUUAUUUUUUGGGUAGCAAAAGCUUAAGAGUAUUCUGUUGCAUAUUAUAGAUCCAUCGAUGUAAGAGAUGUUGCUUAUGCAUACAUUCAAGCUUUGGAGAUUCCUUCAGCUAGUGGCAGAUAUUGUUUCAUUAAAAGAGAUGUCCACUUCUCUGAGGUUCUGAAGAUUGUGUCAGCAACAUUAUCCUACAUUGCACCUUCCAAAAAAGUAUGGUUUUUUUUUUAUAUAUUUUUGCAUGCUCAUGUUGGACCAGCUAUAUAAAUGACUAAGAUUUAUAAUUAUUUGGAUAAUUGAGAAAUAGUUGUUUUGAAUGAUUAAUUUGAUCAUGGAAUAUAAUAUGAGUUGCAGAUGUGGCUCUGGAUUGAAUUACUUAACAAAGUAUGAGGUAUCAAAGGAAAAAGCGAAAACUUUGGAUAUUGACUUCAUUCCUUUGGAGGUUAGUUUCAAGGACACUAUUGAAAGCUUGAAAGAGAAGGGUUUCCUCAGCAUUUGAUUUUGGCUGUUGGAUAAAAAGCAAUGCAAAUAUUACAUUGGCCUUUCAGGUUCAUUGGUUUUAGCUUCCUAUUGGUGCAAGAUAUUAUUGCCCUUCAGGAUUGUCUUUAUUUGAAAAGAGUGGACCAAUACAAUUUAUAAAAUAUAUAACAAUUUGUACAGAACUGUGUAUAAACAUUUUACAUGUGUCACUUGUUUCACUGGUAGAUGAAGUUCAUUUCAGGUCUGAUUUAUGAGGAAGUUACAAUUUUUUUUUUUUUAUCUGAUUCCAUGUCUCAUUCCAAAGAAUAAGACACAAGAAAAAGAAAAUAUAUAAUCCACCAAUUCUGAUUUCGUUCAGUCUUUUUAAAGUAUAUUCAGAUUUCAUAGCCAAUUCAUUUUAUGUUGUAUCUGAUUCAGGGUAUUAAAUAACGGCCGUUACGUAACGUAACGGCCGUUAUGUAACGGUAUCAAGGGGGGUCGUUACCCGUUAGGCCGUUACCCAACGGCCCCCUUGAAUUGCAUCCGUUACGGCCGUUACGUAACGGUAACGGCCGUUACCGACAGUGAUGUAACGGUAACGGCCGUUACUUUAUCCCAACACAAACUUCAGAUUACAGAGAAUAUAUUCAAAAACCAGCUAUGCAUUGAAUUUGACCACUUUUGUCCCUCUUCUCCAGCAAGCACAGCAGACAACCUCAUUUUGCAACUAAAAUUUCCAACUUUCUUUUCCUUUUCUCUCAAAUAUCUCAAUCUCAAGCUUCUCUAAACAUUUCUCAUUUACAAUUACAAGCUUCAAUCUACCAUUAACUACUUCAUUUCAAGAUAAUUUCUUUUAAAAAGUGACUUAAUAUUUCUAUGUAUUUUUACUUUCAAAGUUGCUGUAUUUUUUUUUUUAAUUUUUGUAGAUUAAAUUUGUAGUUUUGAGUUAAAAAUAUAUUUUGAGCUAUUAAUUUGUCCGAUCUAUAAAAAUUGUAUGGUUUUUGUUAGUUUAGACUAUUUUUCAGAAAUCAUUAUGAAAUUAAACUAAUUUUAGUUGCUGUAUUUUUUUUGUUUCAUUUUUGUGGAUUAAAGUGUUAGAUUUGAGUUAAAUUAAUAGUGUAUUUUUACUUUCAGAAUUUUAGAGGAAUCAGAGCUGCUGUAUUUUUUUUUUUAACUUUUGUAGAUUAAAUUUGUAGUUUUGAGUUAAAAAUAUACUUUGAGGCUAUUAAUUUGUUAGAUCUAUAAAUUGUAUGGUUUUUGUUAGUUUAGUUUAGACUAUUUUUCAGAAAUUAUUAUGAAAUUAAAUUAUUUUUAGUUGCUGUAUUUAUUUUUUUUUAAUUUUUGUGGAUUAAAGUGUUAGUUUUGAGUUAAAUUAAUAGUGAUAGAAUAAGACUUGUAGUUUGACAAUUAAAAUUUCAUAUUUAUAUAAUUUGUGUUAAAUAGAAAUUAAUAUAUGUAGUUAGGUUAAAAUUAAAAUAUUAGUUAUGAAAAAAAUAUUCGCCUUCCAUGUAUUUGACAUUUGAUAUCUUUUAAAUUUUAUGAACAAUUAUUAAAUAUUUGUAUUAAAAUGCCUCAUGGAAGUGGUUCUGGUUCUACUCAAGGGGUGGUAAACUAAGUGAUGAUAUUGGGUGGAAGUUUGCAACACCUACAGGGAAAAAAAGGAGAACUGAUUUGUAAUUUAUGUGGGAGAAAAGUCACAGAUGGAAUAACAAGAUUGAAGUUGCACUUGGCUAACAUACCUGGUCAAAUUGCAGGUUGUGAGAAAGUUUCUUCCAAAGUUAAGAAGGAUAUGGCCGCUGUCCUGAAAGAAUACCAAUUAGCUAAAAAGGAUAAAGAAAAAAGAGAAAGAGAAUUAGAAGAAGAAAUUAUGAAUAUAAAUAGAAUCGAAGAUGAUGAAGAGGAGGAGGAGGAAGAGGAUAUCGAAAUGGAAAUAGCGAGACGGGCGAGCAUGAGACAGUUGGAAGAAGAUGAAUUUAAAAGGAGAACUGGAUCUAGAUUUGAUGUUGGUGGUAGUAGCAGACAAGUGUUGGGUCGUUCUGCUACUACACGUGAGGGAGGUAGAGAAACACAAAAAUAUGCAGAAGUAUCUACACCGGCAUCUCGGUUGGCUGCCACAGAAAUUGAGAUAGAGAGAAGCAGAGCUCAACAAAAGCAGCCAAAAUAAAAAACUAAAUGGUUGAAGACACAGAAGGAGAAAAUGUUGUAAGCAUUUGGAAAUUUUAUUAUACAUAAUAGGCUUUCCUUCAGUAUUGUUGAGUCACCGUGAACAAAGCCACUUUUAAGAACAGCAGCAGAAAUCGGGGCUAAUGUAUCUCCACCUACUGCUUAUGAAAUAGCAAAAAUUUAUCUAAAAAAUGAGUACAAUGAGAUGAAAAAAUAUAUAGCCUCAUUUGAUGGAAUAUGGAAGGAGAGGGGAGUUACUAUAAUGUGUGAUGGUUAGAGUGGGCCAACACGUAUGAGUAUAGUAAAUUUCCAUGUCUAUUCAAACAGAGGAACAGUGUUCCACAAGUCUAUUGAUGCAUCCAAUGUGGAAUAUAAAGAUGGAGAACACUAUUUUAAAAUUAUGAAAGAAGUAGUGGAAGAAAUAGGGCCUAAAAAAGUUGUCCAAGUGGUAAUGGACAACGAAGCUGCCAUUAAAUUAGGAGGGAAGAAACUGAAGGAGAAAUUCCCUAAUCUAUAUUGGACUGCUUAUAGUGCUCAUUGUAUUGAUUUGAUUUUGGAAGAUAUUGGAAAGAAGAAGAGUGUGAAAAAAAUAAUUGACCAAGCCAAGGUAAUUACUCAAUUUAUUUAUAAUCAUAAUUGGGUAGUCAAUUAUAUGAAGAAAUUCACGGACAAUAGAGAUAUUAUUCGACCUGGCAUCACUAGAUUUGCCACAAACUUUAUUGCUUUAGAGUCUAUUGUCCGUUAUAGGGUGAGGCUAAGGAAUAUGUUCGAAUCGGAGCAAUGGAUGAUGAGUAAAUAUGGACAAGCAACAAGUGGUCCAGCGCAUGAAGUCAAGAAAAUUGUGCUUGGCUUAGGCAGCGAAGGAAGAAACUUUUGGGAGAAGGCACAACAAAUAAUGAAAGUUCAAGAACCUCUCUUGAAGGUUUUAAGAUUAUUUGGUGGGGAUGACAAGCUAACAAUGAGAUUUAUAUAUGAGGCAAUGGAGCGAGCGAAGUUGGCUAUUCAAAAAAAUUCUAGAAGCUAUUUGGAAUAUUGGAGAAUAAUUGAUCAUAGAUAAAAUUUUCAAUUGCAUCAUGACUUACAUGCCGCUGGUAAGAACAUUGUAUUAUAAUUUGAUAGUUUAGAAAAUUAAAUUGUUAAAUUAAGAGAUAACUUAUUAUCUAUCUUCAUAUUUUAUUUUGCAGGAUAUUUUCUAAAUCCUUAAUAUCAAUAUGGCCCAUAUGAUAUUGGAAAUGAUAAUGAGAUCGUCUCAAAAAUGUGAUUCAACAUCUAGAGGGGGAUUUAGUAAAUCAAGGAAAAACAUUAAAUAAAGUAAGUAACAACUAACAAGCUAAUUCUUAAUUGUUACUAUGUUAGUGUAGUUGAAGGCUUGAAGCUUGAAUUGUUGCUUUUGAACUUGAAGUUAACUUACUGGAAUUUGGAACAUGUAGACCCUACUUUUUCGGGACAAAAUAGAGAGUUUUGGAACAGUUUUGGCACAAAAGGCAAUUAAGUUCACUAAUCCAGGUACUAAGUUUAUAAAAUAAGUAUAAAUUAUUUUUGUUCAUUCAUUUAUAUACAGCUAAGUUCAUUAAAAUAAUAAAAACUUAAAAUAUUUUACAGCUGAGUGGUGGAUUAAUUAUAGAGAAAGUGCUCCUGAGUUGAGAAAAAUCGCUAUUAAAAUACUGAGCCAAACAACUUCAGCUUCAAACUGCGAGAGAAAUUGGAGCACAUUUUCUCACAUUCACACAAAGACAAGAAACAGAUUGAAGUAUAAAAAAUUACAUGCACUUGUCUUUGUGCACUACAACAUGAGGCUGAAAAUCAGAAAUGUGAUAAGAAAAAGCCAACAGGAGUUAGACAGGAGCUACGAUCCAAUUAAUUUGGAUUAUAUUUUUAAAGAAGAUGAUCCGUUAAACUCUUGGUUGGAGGAAAGAGAAUCUCCAUUGUUUGAUGGGCAACCAAUGUAACAGCCCGAAAACCGGUACCCCUUUGUAACGGCUCCAAACUGCUCGGCGCUAGGAUCCAGAUCGGCUUAAGGCCGCGGGACCCGUAGCAAGCCUGCUAAACUCUCUAAACAUCUGGUAUAAUCCCAUACAUGAUCAACCUAUUACUUUUCAGGCUUAACCUGAGCAAGAUCUGUAACUGAAAACUUGUCUUUUCUCUUUACCAAGCUUAACUCGUGCAUGCACUUACUACUAACUUAACCCCACUCUGGAGUCUACAAGGGCUGCUCCAAUGGAGUAACAUCUCAUUCAUUAAGCUUGGUUACCAUGAAAACGUCUUGAAAACAUUUCAAGCAAAAUGAAAACAUUUAUCUUAAAAAACUCAUGAUCAUGUACCACAUGAAGGGAUUAACCAACACUAGGCAAAGCACAUCUCUAAACCUUAUCUCAUAUACCUUUCUUAACUUUACUCUAUCACUUUACCACAUAUUCUUUCCAUUCAUAACCUUUAUAUACAUCAUGUCCUUACAUCAUGUCCACAACUGCACUAUAUAAGCAUAUAAAACAUAACAUCACUUAAUCUUUAUAUCAAUCUUGCAUAACAUAUACAUGCCACUCAAACAACACUAAGCUAUACUAUUACAUCCAAAACACUAGCCACAACAUAACUCUUGACUCUGCCACCUCUGACUUCCCAUAGCUCACUCUGAUCAAACUCUGGCCCUGCAACACUGGGGUUAAGGGAAAGGGAUGAGCUACUAGAGCCCAGUGAGUAGAAACCAUAAAACAGUUCAUUCAUUCAUUACAUGCUCUCGUGCAAUGCGUCACAGCACAAACAUAUCAUAUCUCGGAUUAGACAUGACCCCAGACACUACAAAAAUCUGUUGGAAUAGUAACGGAUAUUAGUAACGGAUUUAAAUCCGUUAUAAUUUUAUAACGGAUUAGUAACGAAUUUUAUAUUCUGUUACUAAUUUUUAUUAUUUAGUAACGGAUUGACAAUCCAUUACUAAAUCUGUUACUUAAUAAAAUUAUUUAUAAAUUUAAUAACGGAUUUUGAGAUCCGUUAUAAAUCUAUUACUAAAUUAGCUAAAAGUUAGUAACGGAUCUCAAUCCGUUAAUAAAUUUGUUACUAAAUCGGUUACUAAAUAAAUAAAUUAAAUAAAUAAAAUAGUAACGGAUUUAAUAACGGAAUGUUGUAACGGAUUUAAUCUGUUACUAUUUUUUUAAUAAAAAAAUUAAUUUUUUAUUUUUUAAAAUUUCAAAUUUUCUUUUUAAGUUAGUAACGGAUAUAAUCUGUCACUAAAUCCGUUACUGAUACGAAAAUUAGUAACAAAUUCUAUAAUCCGUUACUAAAUUUUAGAAAAUAAAAUACCGCGCUUUUAUUUUAAAUUCCUGCAUUUUUAUUUCUAAUUUAGUAACGGAAAAAAUCUGUUACUGAGUUCAUUACUAAUUUAAAAUUAGUAACGGAUUAAGAAAUCCGUUACUAAAAUUUGAAGAAUAAUACCGCCUUUUUAUUUUAGUUCGCCCGCAUUUUUUUUUUAAAUUUAGUAACGGAUUUAAUCCGUUACUAAAUCCGUUACUAAUUCGCGUAUUUAUACACUCACCCAUUUUAUCUCCCUUCACUUAUUCAUUUUCUUUCUCCCCAUUUUAUUUCCCUUCAUUUCAUUCAUCUUCUUUCUCCUCUUCUCUCAUCAUUUCUUCAUUUCUCCCUUAUCUUAUUUUUUUCUUAAUUAUUAACUCCAUUUUUUUUUCAUUUUCUUUCAUUUCCUUCAAUUUUCUCUUUAAUUUUCUUUCAUUUCCUUCAAUUUUCUCUUCAAUAUUCUUUCAUUAUUGAUCUUCCUUUUAUCACUUGAUUUUUGUUUUAUUUUCUCUCAUAUUUUUUCUUUCAUUUUUUUCUAUUUUCUUUCAUUUUCUUCUAUUUUCUUUCAUUUUCUCUUCCACUUUCUAUCAUUUUCCCUUCCUUUUUCUUUCAUUAUUCAUUCAUUUAUUUUCUUUUCUCUCAUAUAUAUACUCUAACCUUUUUUUUACAUUCUUUUGUAUAUCUUCAUUUUCUCUUUAUUUUUCUUCAUUUUUUCUUCAUCUUUCUCUCAUUUUCUUUCUUUUUUCUAUUUUUUCUUCCUUUUUUCUCAUUUUCUUUAAUUUUCCCUUUUUUCUUAUUUGCUCUUCAUUUUUAUCAUUAUUUUCUUUUAUUUUCUUUCUUUUGUUAUUUUCUCUUUUAUAUCUCAUUUUUUUUUCUAUUCUCUCACAUUUUUUCUUUUUUAAAUUUUCUCAUGUAAUUUUAUAAUAAUUUUCUCAUAAAAUUAAUAAAAUUUAAAAUAUUAAAGUUAAUAUUUAAUAUAAAAUACAAUGAAAAAAUUAAUAGUUUACCAUAAUUAAAUUAUUAUCUAAUGUAAAAUAUAAUGAAAUAAAUUAAUUCCAUUUAAAAAAAAUGAAAUAAAUUAAUAAUUUAAUAUAAUUUUUAAAAUAUUUUUUAAAAUUAACAAUAGAUUUAAUAACGAAAUAUAAAUUUAAUAUAUUUUUUUUAUUUUUUAUUUUAUCAAAUUAGUAACGGAUUAGUAACGGAUUUCUAUCCGUUACUAAAUUUAGUAACGGAUGCAAUUUAUUUAUAUAUUUUUAAUUUUUAUUAAAUUAGUAACGGAUUUGAAAUCCGUUACUAAAUUUCAUUACAAAUCCGUUACUAAAUUCGUUACUAAAUUAGUAACAGAUUGCUAAUCGGUUACUAUUGCAUUAGCAACGAGGUUCAUAGUAACGGAUGUAAAUACGUUACUAAUCUGUUACUAAACUGGUUAGUAACGGAUUUUUCAUUGAUUAGUAACGGAAAAAUCCGUUACUAAUCCGGAAAAAUCUUAUAGUGAGAACUCCCUCUGUCGGUGACCGGCCCCUAAGGAACAUCUCGGUCACUACAUGUACUAGAGCCCGGCCCCUACUACGGAGCUCCCAAAGGUCUUAUCUAGACAUAACAGGUCGCGGGCUACUGGGAUCGCCUUGGUCCAUCCCAUCAACAGUAAAAUAGUGCAAUGCAACAUAGUCGUGAUCUCUAAUGCAAUACAACCUGGUAUCACAUGGCAUUCAUGAUGCGUGUCUCAUGCUCAUACUGUCAUUUCCUUUAAAUAUUAACUUUAAAACAUGCAUAGUUAGUUCUACUCACCUGAAGCCUCUGCUCAGCUAACUCUGGGCCUACUCUAACACUGGAGCUAAACACCUCGCCUCAGGUCCGAUCCUACACAGGUGGUCUCACAUGAGGUGCCAAACAACUCUAAAACAUCUCCCCAAAACCCCUCUAAAGCAUCAUAAGCAUGCAUGGAAAAACAUGCAAAGGAAGGCAAAACAGGGCACCUUCGGCGGCACUUUCGGCGGCCGAAAGUCUCCUCCAGAGACGAAACUCGGGUAGGUUCGGCGGCACCUUCGGCGGCCGAAUGUGCAUGACAGAUCCGAAAGUCCAACUUCCGGAGGCAAGGUUAGGCAGCCGAAACCACCUCCUCAAGGGUUCGGCGGCCGAAACUCCUUUCGGCGGCCGAACCUGAGUUCCUCUAGAACUCAAAUUCAUGCACCAACACACCUCCCUAAGCCUUCCUAACUCUCUUAACAUGCAUACAACCUCUUAAAACCAUGCAUAAACCUCUAAACAUGCAUAAAGGAGCCUAAAACAACCUUAAACUCUAACACUUAACAACAUAUAACACAUAAACACAUACAUAGGCAUAAAGGGCUAUAAAACCCUCCCAUGCAAAACCAUGCAACACAUGCUUCAAAACCCCCAAAACUCUCCAUAAAACUUGCUUAAAACAUCAUAAAACAUAAGGAUCAACACUUACCUCUUGAAGAACUAGAGUUGGUGUGAUCCUAGCUUCAAAACGUGGAGAUACCAAGCUUCUAAAGCUUCAAACUCCAAAACCUUGCUCAAAGCUCACAACUCUUCAAAACAAGGAUAAAAGUCAUGAAAACCUUGAAAGAACUUGUAAAAAACCAUGAAAUCAUACCAAGGAGGACAUGAGCUCACCUUGGGUGGGAAGAGGAAGAAAACUCACCUCUUGAACCGACCUAAGUGGCUUAUAUAGGUGGCUUGGUCAACCACUUUCGGCAGCCAAACAUGCAGGCAAAACCUUCCUACGUUCAGAAGCCGAACAUGGCUUUCGGAAGCCAAAACCAUGCAACCUUCGGCGGCCGAACUUUACCUUCGGCGGCCGAACCUGCAUUUUGCCUCCUUGACCUUUUCUCUCAAAACUCAAAACCUUUUAACUUAAAACCAUCAAAACCCUUAAAACCUUUUUGAAAACCUUUUAGAAAACCUUUAUUUUACCCUUGCUUAACCCUUGACAAAGGGUCCGACAUCCGAGAUUCCACCGGACGGUAGGAAUUCCGAUGCCUGAACGAGCCGGGUAUUACAACCAAAUCCAUGGUUAGAUGAUGAAGAGGCGGGUAAUGCUCCAUCACAGUCUGAAUCUGCCACUCAAACUCAAGGACAACAAGGUGCUGCUGGUGAUGAUGAUUCUUUUAUUUUAUCCAGCUCUAGUAGUGAUGAUGAUGGUGGUGGUGGUGAUCAAGGUGGAGGAGGAACCACAGUUGAAGGAGGUGGUAGUCGUAGUUCACAAGAUCCACCUAGUCAAAGACAAAGUGGAAUUAGAAUUGCUUCUGAACCAUCUCCGAUGCGUACAUAUCAAAGAUCACAAGGCUCUCAUAGUUCUGGUACUGGUGGUGCUGAAACAUCCCAAACAAGAGGUAAGGAUGUUGCAUAUGAGGAGGAGGGGUCAAUUGAUUCAUUAAAUUAUGAAUACAAUGCUGGCACAUAUAAUCCAAAUUUUAUGUAUGGUGGUGGACGUGGACCUGGUGGUAGCUCAUCAUCUGAAGAUACUUCAUCAAAUUAUGGGUUCCAUGGCCAAUUUAGAGGGGUGCCAUAUCCAACAAAUUAUCCUCCUGCAUAUUCAUAUUACCCCUUAUCAAGAGCAGAGUCAGCUUUAUCAUACCCUCAACCAACUUAUGGUGAUCCUAAUGAUAUUAUGGGUGGUGGUUCUUUAUUUAGUUUUGAUCCACAAUAAUACUAUCAACAUCAGCAGCAUCACCUUAAUGAUCAAAGCUCAGAGAGCCAAAGUCAAGACCAACAAGAACCUGCACAAUGUUCUUUUUGGUGGUAGUGAGGUUGGUAAUUUCCUAUUUGGUAUUUAAUUUAAGCUAAAUAGUAUACAUUUGAUAUAUUUAUGUUUAUUAUAUAUUUGUAUAUAUUGUUCUGAAUUAAAUCUAUUGAUAUCAUAUCAUUUUAUGAACUUUGCAAAUUGAUUUGAAAAAUUUGCGUAGCGCCAGGCCGUUACCAUUAUGUUACGGCUGUUACAGACCUAUUUCCGUUACCCGCGACCGCGGCCGCGAUCACCAUUUAAAACCAUGAUCUGAUUUCUGGUUCUUGUUAUAUGCUCUUACAAAAUUCAUCUAAAAUUCAGUGCUCUUACACAUUCUAGAAACACAAUUUAUACAAAAACUGAUUCUCAGGAAAAAAGGGAAAAUAAUGUUAUUUGCAUUGAAUGAACAAAUGAUUAGCUUAGUAGCAAAACUACUUAAAAUCAGAGAAAUUAGAAAUAAAAAAGCAGCACAACAUGAGUCUGGGCAUUGCAUGUUGCAUGAUCGAAACAGAGGUCUUGAGCGAGAAUCUAGAUCCUGAAAUACGCAGGCCUGCAAAAAGUCAUUCGAAGAAGUGUGCAAAACUCCCAUCAUUAAGCUUUCAUUUCUGCUUCCCGCUCAGCAGGAUUACUAUGUACUGAGUUGUUUUCUGAACUGUGACAGAUAGGAAACUUGUCCCGGUGAGUUUUUAUUCCGGGAUGUCAAGGGCACAAUGCGCAGCUUAGUGAAUCUCCAUCAUCUUUGCCACAGGUGUAAGUUAUGAAGAUAGUUGCUAGAUGGAGGAUUUUCACACUAGUGAUUUAGCAUCUGUUUCAAGCCAGAAUCAUCAUUAAAUCACAGAUUUGCUUUACAAGCAAUAACUAGGGGGAUUUCAUAUUACAAGUAGAGUCUUUAUAACCUACUGAAUCGCUUAUUUGCGAAGACAGAAGAAAAGGAGAGCUCACGUUUUGUUUUUACUGCACAAAUACUGCAUAUGGAAUCUGAGUGAGAAGUUACUCCCUAAAAAUUUCAAAAGUGUUUUUGAGAGGUACCUUUGCGCGAAUCUUCUGGCAACAGACUCAAAGAAGUCAUCCAAUAAGUAGAAAUUCAUCUAUGGAAGGCCACACACAUGAAUAGCAGUUCUUUCAAGGCGAAUUAUGCCAAGCCAAUCAAGGAAUUGCUGCCAUGGCAUGUAGUUGUGUUUUCUUAAAGUGUUCGAGUAACUUCUGCACAAGGAAUCAAAUUAAUCUUUAAAUCCGUGAAAUUAAAAAGGAUGCAGAAUUACAAAACUAAUAAUAAGAACAAUAAUAAUAAGAUGGAUAGAAGCAUGACCAGCCAAUGCAUGAUUUCGGCAAGCCUUUGCUUUGGUUCACCACUUCCCAAUGUAGUAAGAAUUUCAACAGCAUCCCAGAAUUUCAAUAGCAUCCCAAUGAUAACUCAUACUUAAUGAGCCUUGAUGGAGAAAUGAAAGUCCAGUUAAAAUUAUUCAAAAUGCAUAUCCACUCGCCAAGAACAUAUGCACCCAGAAAUCUCCUUAAAUAAAUAAGGUUUUAACAAGGUGAAUGCUUUGCUUUUUUCUUUUUUUUUGGGAAGAACUUCAAAGUAAACAAAGGUAAGACUAUUGGGUUUCGAUGUUUACCUUGUGUGGGAGAAAUAUAAUGUUUACACAGAAAUCACAUUUUGUUUUCAGAAUAAAUGGAUUUUUCCACCUCUGCAUUUGACAUUGAAAAAACUUGAAUAAAUACCAAAUAAUUAAGAAAUGCUGCUGAUUUAAUUUACAAAGGAAUGGUGCCUGUGAAGAGAAAUUGACAUAUGGCAAUCACCUUCAGCACAAUCAAUUCUCAUCCUAAGUUAGAAGACUAAUCAAACUAAUUGCAGCAAUAACAUCUUUUCCACGACGUCUACUAACUUCUGCACAUAGAGUCAAAAUUAAUCCGUUAUAUCCAUGAAAAGAAUGAAGGCAGAAUUACAUUAAAAAAUGAAUAAAAAUGAUGGUUAAAAGAAUGACCUGCCAAUGCAUUUAAAAUCUCUUUGAAUUUGUUUCCCACAUCCCAAUUUAUUAGAAUUUCAGGUGAGUAAAAAAGAAAUAAAUGAUUCCUCUAGCUCGAUGAGCCUGUACAUGUGGGAAAAAAGUGUUAAAAUAUUAUCAUAAAGCAAAUAAAUUCUCAAUUAUAAAAAAAAAAAAUAAAAGAAAAAAAAGGUACUCUGUAUAUUGAUCUUGAUUGUAAAGAAAUAAUGACAAAAGGAUACUUACGAACUCAAAGGUAAUACACUGCUCAUUUUGGAAGAAACACAUCCAACACUUCAAAACUUAUCCUUCAUUGAUCUGUGUAAAUAGAAUCAUAGAGUGAAGAUUUUCUCAUGUAAGUUUAAUUUGCAAAUUGGACAGAAAAAGGACCAACUUACCGAAGCUUCAUCAUCCAGUAGAUAGCGGCCCUCUCUUUGAAUUCUUUGGUCAUCAACUUCAAUAUUUGGGAUGUGAGAAAUGAAAGCCCAAUCCGCACCCUUUCUAUUUCCACAUGUUUCCUUCAAUUGGGGACAGUCAUUGAUAUUCAAUUCUCGUAACGAGGUGAGGGAACGCAUCUCUUGAGGCAGACACUUUAUUGCCGGACAAUACACAAUGGUUAGAUUUUGAAGACAAGUGAGAUUCCGCAGUCCAUCUGGAGGUAGAGAUUCGAGCUCUUUAAUGUCCAUAAUGCAAAGGUUCUUCAAUUUAGAGAGAGGAGGAAUGAUUGAGGAAGAAGAAGAGAUUGAUGGUGUGAAUAUUUGGUGCACAAGUUGUGGGCUUGCGUGCAGCAAUUCUAGUGAAUCAUCGAGAGAUGGAAACUGAGGGAUGGAGGUCAAAUUAGGGCAGACCUCACAAGAGAAAUAUGAAAGACAAGGAAAUUGGAGUAGCUCAAGAGCUGUCGAAUCAUCCCUCUUCUUCUGCCAUCCUUUAAGCUUAGGACAAAGAUAUAGCUUGAGAGUCUUUAGGGAUGGAAAGAAUGAUGUUGGUUGUCCCUCAAUCUCCAUGUAUUUUAAAUCAUCUACUCUCGAAAUCUCUAGAUAUUGAAGAGAAGGGAUUUGAUCCAUUGGUGGGAGAUGCUGAUAUCUCUUGCAAUCGCAUAUAGAGAGAUAGACAAGAUUCGUGAGGGAAGAGAACCAACUUGGGAACCUGCUGCCUCCAUAGCCAAGCACACGUAACUCUUUAAGAUUGGGAUGUGGUUGGAGAUUUUGGAAUGCCAUUUCAUCUCUAUCAACAUUUGAAUGUUCCCAACUCUCCUCCCAACGUAAUUCCAAUGAUUGAAGGAAACUUAAUAGUCAACAGUACUCACUGUUCGUGUCAGCUUGCGAUGUGUGUCAAAGGGUGAAGCUAGAGCACCAGAAGCCGGCGGGAAUGCUUAACCCACUGCCGAUUCCAGAGUGGAAAUGGGAGAAUAUCGCUAUGGACUUCAUAGUGGGGUUACCGGCAACGUCCAACAGAUUGGACUCCAUAUGGGUGAUUGUGGACAGACUCACCAAAUCUGCUCACUUCAUCCCUGUCAGGAGUGGCUAUUCUGUGGAUAAGCUGGCGCAGGUGUAUGUGGAUGAGAUUGUCAAGCUGCAUGGGGUUCCUGUUUCUACAGUGUCUGAUAGAGGGCCCCAGUUCACCUCCAGAUUUUGGCGGAGUCUGCAGAGUGCUAUGGGUACCAGAUUGGAUUUCAGUACUGCUUUCCAUCCACAGACUGACGGACAGUCAGAGAGGACCAUCCAGACGAUAGAGGACAUGCUCAGAAUGUGUGUGCUAGAUUUUGGCGGUUCUUAGAGGCAGCAUCUACCCUUGGUGGAGUUUGCCUACAAUAACAGCUAUCAUGCUAGCAUAGGGAUGGCCACAUAUGAAGCUUUGUAUGGGAAGAAGUGCAGAUCUCCUAUCUGCUGGGAAGAAGUGGGAGAAAGGACUCUUGCGGGUCCGGAGUUAGUAGAGCUUACCAGCAGGGUAGUGCCCAUAAUCAGAGAGAGGAUCAAGACUGCUGCUAGCCGGCAGAAGAGUUAUGCAGAUAUCCGCAGAAGACAGCUAGAGUUUCAGGAGGGGGAUUUGGUUUUGCUCAAGGUGUCUCCUAUGAAAGGGGUGGUUCGUUUUGGAAAGAAGGGUAAGUUAGCUCCACGGUAUAUCGGUCCUUUUGAGGUUCUCCAGAGGGUCGGAAAUGUAUCGUACAAGCUGGACUUGAGGUUCUAGAUCACUGUGGUCUGUGGCUCGUAUGCAACCCAAAUUUCUAGUUGACACCUGCAGAGACUCAAAGAAGAUAGAAAACAAAUUAGAGUAAUUCAAAUUUAAGUUGAUUUCUUUUGUUUUUUUAAUUAAUCCUUUGCCUGAGAUCUUUCAUCCGAUUGACUAAGAAUUAUCGGCAAAACCAACGAGAAUGAUAAAAAAGGCCUUCAGUGAGUACUGUUGACUAUUAAGUUUCAGAAAUUGGGAACAUUGUUGCCUUGAUUCACUUGUGUUCUCUCAGAAGAAUUAAAUCCAAGAUGUAAAUUCCCCUUCAGUACUAAGUUAAGAUCUUCCACUUCCAUUCCCUUGUAAGUUAGGAGUUUGACAAUUGAUUUUCCAAAAACACUAUCAAAACCUUUUCUGAAAAAGGAUAUUCCUUCAGAAAUAGAGUUGAGGAAGUCAUCCAGAAUUUCAUUAUUCUUGGCAUUCUUAUUGUAAAAGGAUCGAUAUGCAUCUCUUACAUCUUCUAUAGAAAUAUCCUUUCCAGCCAGUUGCAAAAGAAACACACGAUGAAAGGCAACACCUACUUGCACUUCAUGCAUCAAUGCCAAUGCAAUCACCUUACCAGAAAAUUCAAAACAGUCGUAAUGCAAGGGUUCCAACUUCAAUUCUGCAUAUAUAAUGAAUUAAAAAAUAAUGGAUCGUUACUCUAUAAUUUCUCUUUUCUACUCCUUCCUUCUUAUAUUCUUUAACAUAUAAACAUAUCUAUAUUAGGCAUAUAUCAAUCAUUUCUCAAGAAAAGAGAAAAUCAGGUAAAGUAAUAUAUUAUUAUGGAUGCCACUGACAACAAAUUAAGAUCAAAUUAAAAAGGUAGGAUAGUGCCUGCAAGUUGAUCCAAAUGAGCGUCCAACUGCUUAUGAGCUUUUGGAUCAUCCAUUUGUGAAGGAUAGUGGCUUUUAGCAUCUUUUUUCAAAUUUAGUGAACUCCCUGAAGUUUCUUCUUUAGCCUUAAUUGUGUGAACAUACACCUCUCAUAUUGCUUUCUAAGAGAAAAAGAAAGUCUAGUUAGGUCGUUUAUGAACUUGCAAUGAGUCAAAAUCAUUUUGUAACAUCAUAUUUUAAGUUUGGUACGUGUAUGCUGUGUUUUGAGUUGUAGCUGUUGAUUCUCCUAUGCUGCGUUUGUAAAAGACCGUUAGUCCUCAAUUUUGUUUGUAAUGAGUUUUUUCGUUCUCUCGCCUCAAAUACACGACACAUCGGACUUAACCGCUCAUUUAUCCAAUGUGAAUUAUCUUCAAUUAUAUAUACUGUUUUUGGAUUAAAAUGAUGAAAAGCAGUCAUGAAUCUAUGCAAACGACUGUAUGAUUCAUAUUUAUCCCUCACUUCGACUUGUAGGGUAGCAAUUUUUAUAUAUGGCUCCUGUUCAAUUAAUGCAAAUAUAAAUGAACAAAUAAAAUUUUCAUCCAAUUGGUUAUGGUUUUUUGUCAACUGAGAAUUUGUGCAUGUGUGCAACUCACUGUAUCUCGUAAUUUUCCAUAUAUCCUCCCCUUCUUUUUUGGAUGUUUGAAGCCUCCAUGCACACCCACUUUCUUUGUCUUUACACUUUAUAGAAUAAGUCUUCUCUCUUGUUGCAUGAUAACAAAAUUGAUGAUGAUAUUUUUUUGCAGCCGCAGCCACUGCAUCUCUUGAAAAAAUAUCAUCCAAACUGAAAAUUCUUUAGAAGGAUCCCAAAAGGAACGACCUUCUGGCCUAUCAUAAGGAUCCACUCUCAGCAAAUCGAAGUCUAUUUCUGCGUAUGGGGGAUGAUGAACAACAGACACAAUAGGAUUAGGAAAUUGUGUGUUGUAAUAUCGAGACUCACUCCCACUAUCUUCCUGACCAUUAUCAUCCUCAUCAUCCUCAGAAGACAUCCAUGAAUCAUCGUCAUCGUCAUCCUCGUUGUCAUUCUCUACUGCAUCAGAUAAAUUAAUUGAUGGCCCUGUAAGACUUUUAGAUAAACCAUAAUCAUCAACUACAUUUUGCUCUUCACAUGAAUCAUCAUUUGAUUCCACAGCAGUUUCAGAUUGACCAAUAUCAGCAUCCUCAUUUGUAGUAUCAACACAACGAAGUAUCUUAACAUAUAUUUCUAUACCAAGUAUACCACCAAUUUGAUACAAGUAAUUAAACAUACUAGAUACAUCAUCUUCACCCCAUAUCUCCAUACAUUAAAUUUUAAGGAUCCAUCCACAAUUGUAGACUUUCUAAAACUAAUUGUCUAUAAAUUCAUUAUUCUCGGAUAAUCCAAUUGCACAAGCAAUUUUACCGACCAAUUGAUUAAAACUUAUCUGUAUACCCAUUGGAAUAAUCUUUGAAAAACCUCCAUCAUAAUCGUAACCAUUACAACUAUUUAUAAUAUUAUCAUCCCAAUGAAUAUUAGUAUAUACAGGAACUGUCAUUUCUCUGAUAAAAAAAAAUAGAAUAAUAAAUAAUUUGAUCUCAAUUUACUAUAUACAUAAAAAAAAUAAAAAUUUAGAAUAUAAAAUAUUUAAAACUUACCUGCGUUUCUCUUUUUGUAGUCGAAUCGAUAAGAGUAGAUAUAAUAAUUUUGUGAAAUUUGUAGAGGAGAAUAAAUAGUUUAUAGAACGCAAUUUGUUGAGAUAUAAUGCAGAUUUUGAGUAAUUUAUAGAGUAGUGGGUGAGAUAAUUUAUAGAGAGAUCGGAAAGGGGCGAGCUAAAGUGAUUUAUAGAGUGGUGAGUGGGAUCAUUUAUAGAGAGGUGUGGGAGUAGUAGCCGUUGGCUAGUUCGGCAGUGAUGGUGCCGAACUAGCCGUUGCCGAACUUAUUGCUCCGUACAUGUAGACAAAGAAGCCACGGACUGCACAGGAGGAAUUAAUUGUACAAGAAUUUGUUCCACACCAUCACUGCCGAACAAAUUUCUGUGCAAUGAACCUGCAUGCAUGCACGGUCCUGCAGGUUCAGCUCUUCGGCACUAUAAGUGCCGAAGAGUUUUCUUCUUGUGCGUGUUCGGCACCUUGUGUGCCGAACACGUCAUGCUGGCAGCCACGGGAGCAGAUUACACUGCUCCGUGGCACGGAUCAGCUUGUUCGACACCAUGAGUGUCGAACAAGCUGAAAAACAUCAUGUUCGAUACCUAUAGUGUCGAAUAAUAGGAAGUUUGUACAGCCAUAUCUUUUAGUGUACCAUAGACACAAAGUGAGCAAUUUGAACAAUUUUAGAAUUUCAAUUCAAAUGUGUAUAUAUUUUCUUGUUUUAUUUCUUCCAAAAAUCUGCAAAUGAUGUUUUAUUGUUCUUUUUCUAAACAAAUCAUGUGACCAUAUUGUAAUAAUUUUGUUCAUUUAAUUUGUACAACACAGAAACAAUCUUUUACAAACACAGCACAGAAGAAUGAAGCACAACAUACACCAACCUUAAAACAUGAUGUUACAAAAUGAGCGAUUCACUGCAAGUUCAUGAAUAAAUCUGCUACCUUUUUUUUUUUUUUUCUGAAGGAAGUAAACGUGAACAAAAGCUCAUAAAACAUUGAACAUUUGUUCACACCAUUCAAGCUGAAAAGAAAUUUGAGAAAUGCUAACAGCCAGAAUCCUUCACAAACAGAUGAUUCAAAAGCUGAGAAGCAGUAGGACGCUUUUUUGGAUCAACUUGCAGGCACUUCAUGAUAAAAUCUCGCGCAUUCUCUGACAGAGAAUAAUUAGGAAGAUGAUUUCGAAGUGUCCCUUUUUCAACCUCCAAUUCUAGAUUUGCAUCCCAAUCAUUCACAUGAGAGUAUGGAUAAUUCCCAGUUAACAUCUCCAAGACAGUGCAGCCAAGGCUCCAAAUAUCAGCUUCAACUCCAUACUCUUUGUCCUUUUUCAUAACCUCUGGAGCUAUCCAGUCUAUUGUCCCAUGGCGAGACUUCAAAAGAGGAACUAAUUCUGUCACUUUUGCCAAUCCAAAAUCUGUAAUUUUCACGCAUCCUUUCUCAUCCACUAAUAUAUUUGCACAUUUGAUGUCUCUGUGAACUACCUUUCGCUCAUGGAGAUACUUCAAACCUUCUAGUAUCUGGUUGGUGUAGUAGGAGACUUGGGAGUCUUUCAAUUUAAAACUUUUAUAUACUUGUCGGAGGGAACCUGUGCUUACAAGCUCAAGAAAAAUAUAGACCCCUGACUUAUCCUCCUCAGUACCAUAGUAUUUGACUAUAUUUGGAUGACGUAAUUGACACAAUAAAUUAACUUCUUGCUGAAUUCUGUCAAUUUCUUGCUUAAUUUUGUCUUUGAUUCGUAUUUUCUUUACCGCGAAAAAGAAACCACCAUCUGCAUAUCCCUUGUACACGUUUCCAGAAAUCCCUCCUCCCAGAGUCUUCUUACGGUCCAUUCGCCACUCUGACUUGUUAAUAUUAAGUCCUUGUCUAUUAAUCUGCAAGUUAUUCAAUAUAUUUUCAACAUUAAAAAUUAAUAGAAUUGCAGUAGUACUCCUGGUUAUGCUAAUAAAUCUCACAAGAUUUCUUCUAAAAUAUUUGCAAUACCUGCAGUAAAAUCGUGAAAUUGCUAAAAGGUCAUAGAAAAAAAGUCCAGGAACCUACAUGAUUGCUUUAGAAAGACGACAAAACAAGCAAUUUAUUAACAAAGAAGAUUUCAGCAACUCAUGUAUUGUAUUUGAAAUUAGUCUUCGUAGCUGGAUAAGUACUGAAAACAUAUAGGAAACAACAGUUAUGUUAUGAUAACACUGAAAUUUUUGUAAGCGCGUACCUUCAGGAACUGAGACAUCAGAGGAUCACUCGCAUGUGUUAUCUCUCCAGAAAUAAAUUCAAGAUUUAAUUUUCCCUUUAGCACCAGGUUAAGAUCUUCAAGUUCUAUGCCCUUGAAAGAUAGCAGUUGGACGAUUGAUUUUCCAAAAACACUAUCAAAGCCUUUUCUGAAAAAGGAUAUUUGUUCAGAGAUAGAGUUGACUAAGUCAUUCCGAAUUUGAUCAUCAUCAAGAAAACAUUCCUUGGCCUUCUUAUUGUAAAAAGAAGGAUAUGCAUCUUUUACAUCUCCUAUAGAAAUAUCCUUUUCCGCCAGUUGAAAAAGAAACAUACGGUGAAAGGCAACACCUAUUUGUAGUUCAUGCAUCACUGCCAAUGCAAUCACCUUGCCAGAAAAUUCAAAACAGUCGAAGUGCAAUGGUUCCAGCUUCAGUUCUGCAUAUAUAACAUAUGACCAAAAACGGAAAAAGAAAAACUAUACUUAAAACGGGAUAUUAAUAAAUUUAAGAUAAAAAGGAUUUUUAUGGCAUAUUUCUCGUAUUAAAUGUAUUUUUAUUGGUUUACAUUAUGAUUAAAUUUAAAAAAUUUGCAGUUUUUUUUAAUAUGGAAAAAAUGUAAAAUCUAGAAAAAAAAAUAAUCGGAAUUAGUAGUCUUAGAAUCUAUUUGUACAAAAAUAAAAGAUAGAUUUAAUUUUUCGAGUGAUCUGAUCAUGCGGGGUAGUACAAGAAUAUUCACCUGUUGUCCAUCGACUACGCCCUUCAGCCUGAUCUUAGGCCUUGACUCACUUUUCGUGGACGAACCUUGCGGAGGAACCCUUAUAUCACAUGUUUCGUGAAUUUACAUAUAAUUUAGGUAAAAGUCAGAGAUGACAACUUAUUAGUAAAACUUUUUAUUGUACAUAUUAAUAAAUAUAAAUAAUCUUUUUAUUAUGCAUUUUGCGUCGAAUGUGUACGGUCAAUUUAUGCCAUCAUCUAUUAACUAUCUGUCAUACCCUAAAUACUUUCAUAUCUUAUUGUUUUAAUACCUAAUCGUAUUGUCUCACAUGUACAUAGCUAGCCGAAAGGAAUGAGAAGAAAAACUUAAAAAUCUUAUGCCAAGUCCAAUAUUGUAUGCUACAUGUCGUAAAUUAAUUAUAUGAUGAAGUUGUGACAUAAGGGUUAUAUCAAUCAUUUAUCAAGGGGAAAAAAAAAAUAGGAGAAGCAAUAAUUACGGAUGCUAUUCAUAGGAUCUUACCAGGAUUAGGGUAGAACUUCGUAGGAUCAUUUGGGCACGCCAAGAAAAGCAGAUUUUGCGGUUUGAAUAUAACUUGGCAUAACUUGUAUAACCAAUCCUGCAACUUUUUAGGACUGGUGAGCUUCUUAUUUUUCAAUGCUUCAAACAUCUCUUCGUCCAGAAAUCUAGACCAGUGAAUGAGUGGCUUGUAGAACUCUGCAUCAAGUAAUUUUUCCUCGGGGAUCAUCAUCAUGGUGACUAAGUGCAUCCUGGAUUCAGAAUCAAUCACAUCAUUGUGCUCAAGCAGCCAGUGAUAAUCAUCUUCUCUAGUAGUUGUUUCAAGUAUCAGUCGUAAUGAACUCUGCUGCCUCUUCAAUAAAAGCCGAAACUGCUCCCUUUCACUCUCCCAUAGUUGAGAAAUGCUAUUCAAUUCUUUCAAAAUGUCCAGAUAUAAAUGCGAAACAGAACACAAACAACCACUUGUUUCGAAUAGUUCUGCUGUUAAUAGUAAACCAUGAAGAUGACCCUCCAUGUCUGUAGACAGGUGAUUGAAUGCUUCUUUAGUUGGGACUGAAAACCAUGUCAAUGUUUCUUCAUCGUCACCGUCUAUAUAGCCAAUUGCAUUGCGCACUACACAUGAAAAUGCCUGAAAUUCACCAAAAAGAAAUUUCAAUGAAUCAAUGUGUGAACUUGGAUUUGAUACGCGGAUCUGAACCAAACCCUUGCAUAAUGUGCUUGUCAUCUCAUAAAGGAAAGAACAAAUUGUCAGCACUGUUUCUGGCUCCUCAAAGAGUUUGAUCUUAAAUCUACUUCUUUCCACCAACUGUUUGAGAGAAGUCCGACAUGACUGAUACAGAGGAUCUUCAUUAGUUACUUGAUGUCGAAGUAAUUUACAGAAUUCUAAAGCCAAUAGUCUACAUUCUGGAAGAAAAUCAUCUGGACGAUUCAAUAAAUAAUGCAUGGAAGACAAUAUCAAAGCUCUAGCAUAGGCUUUCUGUUGUUUAAUUCUUGACCUGUAAAACAUAACCAAAGUCGCAGGGACAGAAUACGCAAUCAGAAGAAGCUCUGAUUGCUCGUUUCUUUCAGGUGCCAACAGUGCAAACAUCUUAUGCGCUAGUGGACAGUAAUCUAUCCGCGAGACAGAUUUCUCUCGGUACAUUCGACAAAUGGUCGAACUGAUUUGGUGGAUCAUUUGAAAAAGUUCCGAUUCGCCGUCGAGUUCAACCACCAAUUUGAGCCAAGCUUUGUUUUGAAUUGAGCAGUCUUCAAGCGUCUUAUUCCACUCUAGCUUCUCACCUUUGUAAUAUAAUUUCUGUUGCGUAACUGGAAUUUUGGAGAUCACCAGGAUUUUCUGCUGGAUAAAUUGUACUUCAAAAUUGGAUUUCACAAGAAUUUUUAUAGGUUUACGUUUCGGCAUUCUGACAAAUAAAUGAAAGGAAUUGGAUUCACUAUUCGCCAUCAGCUCUAGAUCACUGUGGUCUGUGGCUCGUAUGCAACCCAAAUUUCUAGUUGACACCUGCAGAGACUCAAAGAAGAUAGAAAACAAAUUAGAGUAAUUCAAAUUUAAGUUGAUUUCUUUUGUUUUUUUAAUUAAUCCUUUGCCUGAGAUCUUUCAUCCGAUUGACUAAGAAUUAUCGGCAAAACCAACGAGAAUGAUAAAAAAGGCCUUCAGUGAGUACUGUUGACUAUUAACUCUUCAGUGAGUACUGUUGACUAUUAAGUUUCCAACAUCCUUUGAGGAAAUAUGCCCUUUUGCCACUACGAACAGUGACAACGUCUGAAGUGAACUCAACUGCCCAAGCCCACGUGGCAUAUGAGUCAAAGAGAAACAACCUUGACAAUACAAAUGCCUAAGAUUCACAAGCUUUUUAAUAUCUUUAGGCAAUUCUUUGAGGUUGUAACAAGAAGAGACAUUUAAUACUUGUAAAUUCAGCAAAUCCGUAAUAGAAUUUGGAAGUGCUAUAAGACUCUCUAUAUUAGAAACAUUAAGAUAUCUUAAAUAUUUUAGCAUUUUUAUAGAGCUAUCCAUCAUAUUUAUUCCACAUGAAUACAUCCUAAAUACACGCAAAAAUUUUAAAUUAUGCAAAAAUUUUAAAUUUUUAUGAAUAAAUAGCCAAUCAUGAUCAUGUUUCCUAAGCAGACCAUGAUCAUGUUUCCUAUUCAGAAAUAACGAUCGUAUUCUUUUUGCGUUAUUAAGAAUUUCUUGUGGUGCAACAUCAAAAUUCAACGCUACAUGAUGGGUUUUCUCAUCAAUAUUUGGUGCAUCAGAAUUUAUCAGCUGAAUUCUCUUUCCACCCACUGUGGUUGCGAGAUCGUGCAUUAAAUCAUGCAUUUUACAGCUUUCAACAUUUCCACAUCUAUCUCUUUCCACCUCUUGAAAAAAUGACCUCCACCACAGUUUCAUAAAAUAUUCAAGCCCAAUAUCUUCAAGACAAUCACUCGUACUUGGUGACUCAAUAAACCCUUGUGCAAUCCAAAGAUGGAUUAAUAUUUUCACAUUAAUCACAGAAUCUUUUAGAUAUAUUGCGCAAUAUGCAAAACAAUGCUUCAAAUGUGAUGGGAGAUGAUCAUAACUUAGCUUCAGUGUUGGCAUAAUAUCAUUACCAUCUUGACUUAUUCUUGAGAGUUCUUUUGUUAAAAAGGGCAGCCACUCAGUUUGUGGAUUUUUCGCAUACAAGAGACUUGCAAUAGUUUUUAUUGCAAGAGGAACUCCACGACAUUUCUUCAAAAUCUCCUUUCCCAUCUCUCUUACAUUUGCAUGUUUUGGCUCCUGCCCCUCAAGUGCUACAUGCAAAAACAAAGACCAAGACUCAUCCGGAGACAACCCUUCCAAAACAUGUGGUGCCAUUGUGCUAGACAUAUCUGCCACCUUUUUAGAGCGAGUGGUUAUUAAUAUCUUACUUCCACUAGAGCCACCCACUAAUAAUCUCUUUAAAUUCUCCCAUUUUUCUCUAUUCUCAUUCCACACAUCAUCUAGAACAAGCAGAUAUUUCUUCCCACUAAUAAUUUUUUCCAGUCUAGACUUCAAUGCUUCUAACCCAAGAUCUUCCGAUCUAUUCCCUGUUGCAGACUCUAGAAUCUUUCCAACAGUCAUUUUCACAUCAAAAGGUUCUGAAACACACACCCAUAUUCUUGGCUCAAAUGAAUUCUUAAUCAAUUCAUCAUUGAAUAUGAUUUGAGCAAGAGUGGUCUUCCCUAAUCCUCCAAUUCCAACAAUUGAGAGGACUGAAACACACUCUUCACCAUUGGAAGACAAUACAAGUUCUGUAAUUGCCUUUUUGUCACCCUCUCUCCCAAUAAUCACUUCAGGUAAAGAGGACGUAGUUUGAUCCCUCCAUACAAUACUCUCCUGAUCAGUACGAACCUCUAAAUUAAAUUUUCUGUCAGCUUCAAUAUCAGCUAGCCUCUCCCUAAUCGCCUUAACUUUAUGACCCAUUUUAAAACCAUAAACAAGUUGAUUUGAAGACGAAAAGAAGAGACUUACCUCCUUUGUCAUUCUAUUUCCAGUCAUCACUCGGCGCCUUAGAGCUUCUGUGGCGAAGUCAUCUACCAAGUCAUCAGCAUCAUAAACAACUUCUUCUAGCCUCUCAAGCCAGCCUUUCACUUGACGGUUAAGUUUCUGCUGCUCCUCAGCAUCCAGAAGAACGUUGCGAAUACUAGAAACUGUGGCCUCAAGUUUCUUAAGCUCACCUUUGACGCCCCACCACAAUCCGAUCUCAUGAAGGGCUCGAGAACCCAGCUUGGUAAUGAUAUCUCUGACAACGUUAGAGAGAACUCCGUCGGCCAUUUUGGGUGUUUUGGUUUGGUUGUAAAAGGAUGAAAUGUUGCUGUGAAGAAGAAGAUACCGACAACAAAUGACUAAUUUAAAGAAAAAAAGAAGCGGAGGAAAAAGCAUCUUCUAAAUGAUUAUGUUCGGUCGGUCAGCUUUUUGGAGGGCC
rnacentral:lncRNA from 1 species